CAUCUCUUCUCUAUAUGACAAAGUUAUAAAAAGUGCAAAUAGAUGGAGAAACUUAGAACUCACCAUCAAUCAUUCCAGCAUUUCCUGGAUACAAGAUAUUCACCAACAAGAUGUAUGCAAGUAGGAGAAUUGCACCACCUCCAUGAAUCCCAAGGAACAAGUAGUGUUUGAUGGUUACUAAUAUAACGUUUAUUUCGAGAAAGAAGACCAUGGCGUUUAUUCGGGAUGGAGGAAGAACGAGAUGGACUGGAUCUUGCUGAUGUGCCUCUAUCUCAUUUAUAGGAUAGAUCGAUGCUAUCCACUCCAACCAAUGAAGAAGCACCACGUGGCAGAUAAUGGUCCAACACUCAAGAUUUACAAGAUUUUCCGGAUAUGCUCAACCUAAGGGUAGUGGUCUUGACCGGCCGGAUGAACGGUGCUCGAUUCCUUUCGACGUUUUCCAGCAUCUUCUGGCAUGGAUCGGUCUUGAGACGUGAACCCCACGGCCGGGAAAGAGGAGCUCUGAGUAUUUAAAUGCAAUCAAUGUGGGAUGAGCUUGGAAAAUAUCAACAAUGGGCCUCUAGGUGUGAAAUUUAAAUUCAAGCAUCUAAGAGAUCUUAUUCUCCACAAAAAAAAAAAAACUUCCCAUUAAAAUAAAUAAUGAUGUUGUUUUUUACAUCAAAUAAGUGGCUGGUUAGAAAUUUGAUCCGCAAAGCUUUUAUGCAGUGAUUUGUAAUGUGUAGGUGAUUAAUGGAAUUUGCUUUCAUUAUCUCAAUGAAAUUGGAUGCAUUUCCCCCUCCUGUCUCCAAUAAAAAGAAGAAAAAAAUUACCAUCGGCUCAUUUACUAUAGCCAUUAAAGCUAAUUAAGUGUUCUAAUCAUUAUAAGAUAUAUUUCUAACUGGGAGCACUCAAUCUUCUCCUGAUGUGGUGCUGCUGAUAUGAGGUUGUACCAAUGAAGAAUGAAAUGUGCUUGGUGUAAUAACCAAUCUAAUUAAAGCAAAAUGAAACUUCACUAUAGGCCUAGCUCAUGUGUUUCACCCACAAUUGACUCAUAAUUCAGCCGAUUGACCUAAACGAAGAAAGCUAGAUUUGCUCUUACCAAAUCUCAAGAUCUAAAUUUCUCGGAGUGUUGUGGGUAUGGUUGGAUUUCUAGCCAAACUAAAGCAGAAGCACCCUUCCAUAUAUAGUCAUGAAUACCACUAGCCUUUUUUUGAGAUAAAUUAGUUUCACUAUCUUGCCUAAUCUUUGGAGAAAAAAAAGUCAUGAUUUGAGGUGCAAUCUAGGGAGGGGUCGGUCACAUUAGAAUGCUGUCAUGGGUCAGCCAUUUGUGGUCGAUAUGUCCAGGUUGCCGGCUAUUGCGGAAAUAUAUGAGAAGCCUGGAAAUGUGAGGGCGUGUGGUCUGGAUGUCUCUUUAACAAGAACUCCUAGAAAACCCAUUUUAUGAAUCAUUUUAAUUGUCCGGUAAGUGACCGGGAAGCAAGACAUGCAUGUUUGGAAACAAAGACAUGGAGUUCUUGUUUUAUAAAAUCAAGUACAUGGAGAUACAAUUCCCAUACAGCAUUCUGGUGCUGCUUACGUAUAAUUUUCUAUACAACUCUUGCUUACAGAAUCUUUAAACAAGAAAGUUAAUGCACAAGUUUUGAGCGAUCGUCCCAUGCACCACAAUAUAGGAGGAAAGUGAACACAAUUUCGGGGAGAAAAGAAAUCAAUCCAUCCAAUGCAGUAUGACAGUCAGUGGACAAGAUAGGUCACGAGGAGUGCAACGAUCAUAAGCACAUAAGCUAUCCCUAGAUCGAUUGCCUUGCCUGCAUAAAACAAAAAAAAUUUAAAUAUGAGAAAGGGAAACAUUAAUAUUCACUGGAUUAAGAAGGAAUUCGAAUAUCCAAAAGAACAGAAUGUUAGAAACGUAAAAUAAACAAGAAAUGGAUGCAUGCGCACCAUCACUGCUCGCUGCUUCCACAACGGCCGAUGUGGCCGAGCCUUGGCACAGUAAUGGAUGAAGGAGCACUGCAAGCAAGACGUAGGUCAGGAUGAGAGCUUGAACUUUGAUGGAGCCCAUAUUGGUUCUCGAGCGUACAAGAAAUGAUGAGGAAAGGCAAGUGGUCAGGUAGAGAAGUGGUAGGUGAAUUGGAAGUGAAGGGUGGCUGAUGGUUGGAGAGAGGCCUUCCUACGUGCAUCGAUAUAUAUAGAGAGAGCUCUCGAAGCAAUUGAAGUUGAGAUAUCUUGUCUCCUUUAGAGUGAACUUAACAUCGUUGACUAGUCUCUGGAGAGGUGCAGGGUGUUUCUCGGAAGGUGGGUUAGUACUGAUUAAUUUGGAAUUGACCGGCCCACCGGUUUUGAUUAGAUCCAACGUAUACCGUACGGGGUUGGUGCGUAGACGUGGAAGUGCAGUUCCUGCAAGCUGCUUAUAUUCCUUAGAGAGAUAUUAGUCCGAGUCGGCUGGCGUCGUUAGAUUAGAAUCUUGACCGCUAAAGGAGUCUUGGACCCAAUGAUACGUACGAAUACAUACAUAUACACACACACAUAUAUAUAUUAUAUAAAUUUUGUCACGGUGAAAUAAUUUGUUUGGCAUGGUAAACAGGCAAACAGCAACUUGAGAGAGGAUCUCAAUCCUCCAUUUAUCGACGUUAAAUGGUGUUGUUUGAACCUGGACAUCAAUGGCAAACGUGAGAACCUUCUCGGGCUCUUAGUCCACUCCCGGCCAAACCAAUGGCAUCGAUUGGAAAUUGUUCAGCGACGACGACUACGAUGAUGAUGAUGAUUGAUGAAUAUAAGAACCACAAUAUUAUGUUCAGACAUUUUGUAUUAGGCCGGCAAGCAUAGCAAGGAUGAGUCAACUUCUCAUACAGGCCUUUCGGACCCAGUCAAAGGAAGACCAAAAAGGUGGAAGUGGUGAACAAUUAGUUGAAAGGGAGAAUAGCUUAUUAAGAUAAAAUAGUAAAAGCUCUUGUCAUAGUGCAAGUGAUCUGAAAACAUGAAUAGGAAGAGAACCGACAGUGCAACACAUCUCUAGCGUCAUGCCUCAGCUUUCAACAAAAAUCUCAAAUUUACAACUUGUUUAAUUAAUUGAUCAUCUAGUUAGAAAAUUUGUUACAAAGCCAAUACAAUCUUUUUGAGCAUAGCUCAGUGAUAUAGAUAAGAAUAUCUACAGACAACACAUCCAUAUCAAACAGAUUUAUGUCCCAUGAAGUUAUGAAUGGUCGUGGCUUGCUACCUACAUACAUAGCAAGAGGAAGAACAAUAGCAUUCGUACUGGUGCACAAAAAUGAUAGACCCAGAGAAGAUGGGAACAGAGAGAGAUAAAGAGGAAGUAAGACCAUGGGAGUGGUACGUCCUAGCUGGCGGAGGGUAUCACCGCUUUGGCAUAAGAUCUGCAGAUAUGUGCCCAUGGUCAUGUCGCGAUGCAGGUGGCUGAUAGGGGAUGGCUAGCGAGUUGAUGUGGUGGAGGAUGCAUGGGUGGACGAGAUCCCAUUAAGGCGUUGGCCGACCCUAGUCAGUGUUAAGGUUGGGGAGAGACUGCGGGUGGAUGAUCUGCUCCUUUCCGAUGGAGGGGGUGGGAUACCCGCCAGAUCAGUCAGCUGUUUGGUGAGCCAUUUGCAGAGCGGAUUCAGCGAUCCCAGUUUCGAUACACCCAUGCCCAAAUGUCGGAAUUUAGAGCUCAUCUUGUAGAUCUACAGUCAGGGUGGCCGACAUCUGGCACGUUGUCUAGAAGGGCGAGUAGUAAGCAGUGGAUUUUGAUUGGAUUUGGUGGUUUGGGUUGCACCCUAGGAUUGCUUUGUUUUUUUGGAAGAUCGCUUAGGGUCGCCAACUGACAAGGCUUUUACUUUUUGAGAGGGGCAUGGGCAUCCAACUUCAGUGCCCUGAAUGUUUGACGUACAAACGAGUCACUAGAUCAUACUAUUUUUCAGUGCCACUGGGCUAGGAGGAUCUGGAGGCGAGCAGGGUUUCCCGUGGAGUUCUGGUGUCAUGCGACGUCGAUCCUUUCUGAAGGUGCUGGGACGUUUGGCAAGGGCCUCGCAUUCUAGACCGGAGGCGCUGAGGGCAACCUAUAUUGCCUACCAGAUAUGACUGGCAAGCAACGCAUGGAGGUUCGGAGAGUCGAGCUCCCAUCCGGGGGUGGUGGUGGAGAGGACGAGGCUACUAGCUAGCAGCGGAGAUCUCUCAGGCGGACCAUUUGGAUAGACUUUUGAUAGCUCGGAACAUCUGGAGCUCCACCUUUGCUAGUAGAGCACCAUGUAUGGUGUUUUUCACCUGGGAGCUCCUACCCCCGAGCUUCCUCAAGGUCAAUUUUGAUGGUUGCGUCCUGCAGGGCGGCAUAAGGGAAGGUACGGACUUUGUGGUUGGAGGCCCGAGCUCCAGGGUGGUUGCUGCUGGGGGUUACUGAAUGUUUGAUACCUCGGUGCCCGGAACUGAGUUGAGAACGACUUGGUCUGGCUUAUACUAUGUGAGGCAUGCUCUACAGACGAGAAUGGCCGUUUUAGAAGGUGAUUUUGCGAGGAUCAUUGGGUGGAUUCAGAGGACUUCGGGGGGGAUUGGCAAUCACCACCCGUUGAUGCGAGAUAUUUGGGCCAUGAUUCGUGCUGGGCUGAUCAUACAAGCAAGGCACAUUUUUCAUGAGGCUAAUGGAACUGCCGAUUGGGUGACUUCUUUUGUUCCCAAUCAUUCGAGGGGACACCUAUGGGUGGGUGAGUGGGAGGUGCCUAGUGCUCUUUGAGAUAUACUGCUUUUUGAUUUUCUUAGUUGUAUUCGUGCUCGUCUAGUAUAAGUCUUUCGGUUUAGCAAAAAAAAAAAGAAAAAAAAAAGAGGAAGAGGAAGAGGAAGCAAGAGGGUGUAUGAAAAUAUAAACAACAUACCAUGGCCUUUAAGAUAUAGAGAGGAUUGGAGAGUGACUGGGGAUAUUACAACCAAACCCAGCAUGGCCAAUUCAGCCUGAACUGCAAAUUCUUAACCGUCCACUCAGUUCCUUGGAAAAACGGACAAGAAUAUUCCAUCCCGAGGUCCAAAAACUUGGAUCUUGCCUGAUCUCCUUCUUUGAAAAGUGGGCCAGGUGUUGGAUGACCAACACGAUUCGAUUCCACGUACGAUUCGUUGGAAUUGCCAGAUCCAGCUGGCAUUCCAAAGCACUAUGGAUGAACCAAGUCAUCCACCAGCCUCCUCCUUUCUCGGUUAGAAUGGUGUCUACGAAUCCUGCAGCUCAGAUCUCAGAAACAAGCUUCUCACGUUGUAGAGAAACGAACAGCUUCAAAUUCCAUUCCAUUUUCCCAUUCGCCAUCCUUUUCUAUUGUUUUACGGAAUUGACGCAUCCGGAGAUCUCAGAAACAAACUUCCCACGUUGCAGAGAAACGAACAGCUUAUUCAAAUUCCCCUCCAUUUUCCUACUCGCCAUCCUUUUUUGUUUUUUUACAGAAUUUGUAUCAUGAAGUGCUCCUUCACGAAGAGCGGAGCAGCGGAGAGGGGAGGGAGAUGGGACUGCAUGCAAAGAGACAUAGCUGCGAGUAUUUUCCAGCAUCUGAACAUCAUGGAGUUGCUGCUGCUGGUCACCUCGAGUCGACCUCUGAACGUCCUCGCUUCCAAGAAGCGUAACAUCAAUGAUUGGAGCCUAAUCCUGCAUGCGCUCUCUUGCUCCAGAAGCUCUAAAUUAAGGAGCUCCGAAAGAAGUGAGGCCUACCUGCUUUCUGAGAUCACUCGCUAUUUUGAGAUCACUCACUGGUUGAAGUGCUCGGCCUCGUUACAAGCACCAAAAGAUUUUCGAAACCGAUGCAUUAAAACAAAAGAAAGCAUACAUCAGCAGAGAGUCUCACAAGGACGGCACUCGACUCCCUGUUUCUGGACCCCGUAAGUCGGAAUCCAGACAUCUACGACCCCUGCUGCUUAGAAUUUCUGUAAAAAGAGCCUCAAAACUCCGAAGCAGCAGCUUCGAAAAGUUGGUACAGUCUCGAUCUCUAGCCAACAAAAAGGAGGGAUUCAGGAACCUGACUCAUAACAUUCCAUUAAUUCUGAUUAUAGUUCAAGAUUCUAGUCCCUAUCUCCUUCCGUUAGUAAACUUUUAAUCCUCGUUUCGGUCUCCCUGGGGUUUUAUGUUGGCAGAUACCCUAGAAAUGCAUUAUUAUCUCCUUUAACUCCCAUGUAAUAAGACUGCACAAUCUUUUAUUUUAAUAGAUUUGGUUGGUCGUCGCCACCCUUAUAUCAAAAGAAUACAUAGAUAGAUAGAUAUUAAACAAGUCGAAAAUUCCGAGAGAAAUAAACAGACCAUAAUCUUUGCAAAAACUUACAAAAGUCGUGCAAUAAUAAACAAGUCUAUCUUUGCUGCGAUGCGACAGAAGAAGGAGAGAACAGAAAUAUUCUAAGCAUAUAUGCAGCUUAACUACUGCUGAAUCCAAAAACAAGACGAUAAAGCAAGAACAGGAAGCGACGGAAGCAUACGAUUUAAAGAAAGGAUGCAAGCAGCACUGAAACUGAAAACAACGCAGCAUGUCCGGUGUUAACAUAAGGUAGCGGAAGUUAAACAUCAAGACACAAGAUGACACAGCAUCGCAUCAUAAGGUAUCAUCGUAACUUAGAGCACCUUGUUCUCAUUUGAGAACCCUCAAUCUGAAAAACCUUUAGCGAUGCCGCGCAGGCCUUAAUGCCUGAAUGUCUUGGAACUCCUUGAGUAUCUCAUCAUCACUAGGCCUCUUUGAUGCUUUCCGCAGACAUCUUCUUGCCAAAGCAAUUAGGCUCUGUAGCUCCUUUGGUUGAUAAGGAGAAGGGCGCAAUUUCUUCGAAAGAAGAAAAUCAAGAGCUCUACUUUUAUACUUCUUGCCAUUGAUUUUUACUGCUAGAUCUUUGCCCUUCCUGGAGAUUGGUUUUCUUCCCAACAGCACCACUAGCAUCAAAACACCAAAUGAGUAGGUAUCUAUUCCUAUGCUGGCACGACCUGCUAAGGGAAAAAAGGUCGAAAUUUGUAACUUGCAUAAUAGUUUAACAGCAGUUUCAUAAGAGUUUUAUAUGUGUGAAAAUAAAUUAAGAAUGCACGUCGACCUUUCUUUCUAUAGGAAGGAUCUGUGUAACCAGGUGUCCCCAUUGUUUCUGGGGCCUGGAUAAAAGUAUUUGGGGGCCUAGGUCCGUCGAUUGUCGCUCCAAAAUCAACCAAUUUCGCAUUCAUCUCCUUGAAGAUAUAAGAAAUGAUCAUGUAUAUCCUCUAGAAAAUAUGCAAGCUAAGAGCUAGAUAGCAUACAAAGAGAGAAGUAAAUAAACCUACAGGAUCGAGCACUAUGUUGACAGCUUUUAGAUCACGAUAGAUCAAAUUCUUUUCAUGAAGAUACGUCAUAGCUUUUGCUACAUCAUGAAGUAUAUCGACUCUUUUGUCCCACUCGAUCGGCACAACUUCCGGUCUUUCUAAAGCAGAAUAAAUAUUCAGUCAGCUUGAACAGAUAAAUAAAUGGGUAAGCUGCAAAAAGAUAGAUUAAUAUAUACCUUCAGUGCCAAAGAUCCGCUCCUUCAAGUUUCCUCCGGGAACGUGUUCGAGAACCAAAGCUUUUUUCUCUUGUCCGUCGUGAGGCUUGUCAUGAAAAUAACCAAUCAAUCUGACGAUAUUUGGAUGAUUUAAUUUCAUGAGAUGCUCUCUCUCAAUCUGCAAACAUCGUAAUGGAUUAGAGAAGAAAAUUAUGCUGACAUAAAUGUAUGGAUUGUUAUAUAGUUUAUCUAGCUAGUUUAAUUACCUCCCAUAGGUGAAAUGUUUUAAGCUCUCUGAAACUAUACUCCUUAACUGCAACUUGUUGGGCCGACAAUCCACCUCUGAAACCAUCAGGAAUAAGUCCUGCCCACACCCUACCAGAUCGCCCACUUCCUAUCACCACGUUACCCGCUUGAUCCAAAAUAUGUAUAAUUUCAGGUUCAGUGAACACUAGGACCGGAUCCGGCUGCUCUGAAUGUCAUGAAAAUAUGUCGUUUAAAUUAUAUAAUAAAAAAAAAACGAAGAAAAUUUUGCCGAGCUUAUUUAUUGGAUGGCCAUCGAGAUAUAUUGGCAGUGGCGCAUAUCUCAAUAAAAAUUUCAAAGCAUCAUCUCAUCUCAAACGUGGUUAUAUGAGAAAUGACGCUUCCAACGGCAAGUAUAUAUAAUUGUUUCACGUCGCUCCAUGCAUGAAAUGAUGGAGUAGCAACGAUAAUUAACUUGAGUAAAGGCAGCAAAUUAAUAACCGACCACUGGUUUCUCCUGCUUUCUGUUUCUUUGGAUCAGCCAGCAUCCCAGUGGAUGAGCCAGCCCGUCCCUUCCCUUUGUCGGCCUGUAAGCGAAGAAGUAAUUAAUAAUACAUAUAGAAGUCAUCUAAGAAGAGGAGAGUUUUUUGUUUCUUCUUCUUCUUCUUCUAAGAAAACACUAAUUUUUACCAUCAGAACUUCUCCCUGCCUCUUCCCCUAUGAAUACUGCUUGCUCUCCUGAACUUCUCCUUUUAUAGCGAAAAUGGGCAGCAUGACUCACUAUUUCUCACCAACAGUCCUUGUCUUCUUUCUCCCUCCUGCAACCAUUACUCUGAAAAAGAAGAAGAAUAUUCGCCCACUACUCUGCAAACAAAUCAGGGCAGACCUGCCAAGUUUGUUUUAUUUUUUCUUUUCUUUUCCAGAAGCUUCAUUUCAUUUCGUUGCAAUGUAAUUAUGGGGUCGUCGACGUCCUUUUCACCUGGAUUUCAGGGCUGCAAAACCUGCAGGCCCCUGACAAACAUCAUCUUUUGGUGAAUGAAUGGCCGCGCCUGAAUGCCAGCUUUGCUGCAAAAUAAAUUAAACAAGUUUUAAUCUUUGCUGCAUUUUGUAUAAUAACAACAAGUAGUUGUGAUUUCCACCCCAAAUAUAGGAGAAGCGUGGAAAUGCGAGAUGUCUGCUCCCGGAUUCCGAACUCCAUUACAUGGAAUUCAUAGCUUCUAUUCGGGCAUUUGCUCAUUCGUGGUUUGACGCAUCCAAGUAAAAGAAAAGAAAACCCAGCCCAUUUAUGAAUCAUUCUAAUUCUCCCUAAGUGACCGGGAAGCAAGAUAUGUUCGGAAACAAAGUCAUGGACUUCUUGUGCUAUAAAAUCAAGUACAUGGAGAUACAGUUCCCAUGCACAGUAUUCUGGUGUUGCUUACGACUCUUGCUUGCAGAAUCCUUAAACAAGAAAGUUAUUGCACAAGUUAAUUUGAGUGCUCGUGAUCCCAUCACAAUAGGAGGAAAGGGAACGUCAAUGGUAAACAGGCAAACAGCUACUUGAGAGAGGAUCUCACUCCUCCGUUUAUCGACGUUAAAUUGUAUUGUUCGAACCAGGACAUCAAAGGCAAACGAGAGAACCUUUUCGGGCUCUUAGUCCACUCUCUGCAAAACCGAUGGUGUAGAUUGGAAAUUGUUCAGCGAUGACAACAUUAACGUUCAAACAUUUUGUAUUUGGCCAGCAAGCAUGGCAAGGACAAGUCAACUUCUUGGACCGAGCCAAAGGAAGACCAAGGGUGGAAGUCGUGAACAAAUGUCAAUCCCAUAACUAGCUAAUUAGUUGAAAGAGAGAAAGGAUUAUUAAGAUAAACUAGUACGUAAAAGCUCUUGUCAUAAUGCAAGUGAUCUGAAAACAUGAAUAGGAAGAGAAAUAACAGUGUAACUAUCAUGACCCGAACCCAACACUCAAAUUCGGCACACGACAUGCUCGCAUAAGCCCUAGAGCAGUGCUCUAAAGACCAUGGAAGGCUUAAGAUAACAAAAAUCUGAUAACAUCUCAAUAAAUCAAUUAAUCAACAUAGAUAAAGUCAACAUAUCCAAUUAAUCAAACUGGUGCAGUUACAAAAUCUUCAAAUGUUCAUCGGCAUCAAAAAAAGAUAAACUAACUAGUUAAUAACUUUGAUACUUGUACUCCAUGCCAACCUAUUUGGAACUAUGCUUUUUGCAACUCUGAAAAAGAGAAAGAAGAAGAAGAAGAGGUUGCGAGCUUUACAACCCAGUAAGAAUAUUCACACAUCCACACCAACAUAAUAAUAAUAAUAUAAGUUUGAAAAUUAUAAGAAAAUAUUGUACACAUCAUAAAAUUACAAACCGACUAUUAAUAAUACUCGAAUAAUCAAUAUACAGUAUGUAUAUCAAAUACCAAUAGAUAUACAACUACAUAAGGAUAAAAUAUCAUAUGACAUCUCAUAAAUCUUCAAUAGUAUUUUUCAAGACUUUUUAUUCCAUUUUUUUUAAACUUGAUCCGGAUCAAUUAUCUUUUCAAUUUUGAGCUAAAUCCUGAUCACGUUUUCAGCCUGUGAUGAGGCAAUCGAUAGUACCACAUUUUUAGCUUGUGAUGGGGCAAUCGAUAGUAUCACAUUUUCGGUCUAUAAUAGGGCAGUCGAUAGUAUCACAUUUUUAGCUUAUGACGGGGCAAUCGAUAGUAUCACAUUUUUAGCAUAUGAUGACAAUCGAUAGUAUCACAUUUCUAGUAUGUAAUAGGGCAAUCGAUAGUAUCACAUUUCCAUCAUGUAAUAGGACAAUCGAUAGUAACAAGAUAAGCCCAAAGUUCUUGUUCAUUUAAUUAAGUUCACAUCCACACACCAUUUUCUUUUUAUUUUCGACUUUAGACUAACCACGGUCGCGUUUUCAGCCCAUGAUGGAGCAAUCGGUAAUAUCACGUUUCUAACAUGUGACGAAACAAUCGAUAUAACAUGGUUAGUCUAGAACACCACAUUCAUUAGUCUGAUCAUGCAAGUGUAAGUUAUGCUCAUAUAAGUAUCCAUCAUACCAUCAAUCACAUGUAUACUUGAUAAAAAUAUGAUUUAAUAUAGAAACCAUCAUAAAAUUAUUCUUGAUUCUUACUUAUCUUGAUCAUUAGCACAUAAUCACAUUAUACAUAUAUAGGUGCAAAAAUAUUUAUAUCAUGCAGUUUAGUGUAUAAGAAUUCUUAUAUCUUUGCUGGCAACCAAACAAAUCAAUUACCUGCCCACACCACGAUCUGCAAACUGGGAUCCGCAGAACCCUGCUCAACGUCCUCUUGUCCAACAAAUUAUUUUCCUACAAAACCAAGUCAAUAUUAAAAAUUAUCUAGGAUAUUUGACAACCCAGAACCUUCUAUUGAUCCUCUAAAGGGUUCACCAUCACCUAGCAACCCAGGACUAUCCAGUAGUCCUCACAAAUAAUGAUCUCUCCAUAUCAAGCUAGAGAAAGAAAACACCUACAGGAAGAGAGAGAAAUUAGAGAGAGAAAAAAAACAAGGAGAGAGGAAGAGAGGAAUGGGAGGCUCUCUUGCUCUCUCUCUCUCUCUCUAUUUCUCUCUUUCUUCCUUCUUCCCCAGAGGAAAAUGCUUGGCGACGGCGGUCGCUCAUGGCCGACGCCCCUUGUGGUCGUUUCCCCCUAGCAGUCCUCUGGUUGGCCCAACGGCGAACACUCCGAGUUCUUCCCACAGCAAGCUUAGAGAUCCAAGUCUCUAAUGGAAGGAUUUCCAAAGACGAAGCUAAAGAAAAGGGGAAGAGGAUAUUUUAUAGAUUGAGACCGACUCGAACUAGGUAAGGUUUGAUCACCCUAGACUCCUCCUUCCGGUGGACUCGGAGGGAGAGAGUCGGAAUAUGGGAGGAAGAAAACUUUGAUCGGGAGUCUCCCUCUCCUACCGCACGGGCCGACCGGUGCUGUGGCCCAGAAGCCGACCCACGCCCAAAAAUAAUAUGGGCUCUUACAGUAACACAUCUCGAGCGCCAUGCCUCAUCUUUCAACAGCAUUUAAAAAUCUCAAAUUCAGUGUUUGUUUAGCCAAUUUGAUACGCCUAGCUUGGGAAUGGUACGCAGUUGGACUUGCCAGCCACAUGCAUCCAACAGAGGUAAGGCAAUAAGGAGGUGCACUGUGGAAACUAUAGCAAAGUUUAUCUGAGAUAAGAUCGAAUUUUAUAUAUGAUACCAGGUAGAAAACAUGCAACUAUGGGUGUUACUACAAAGCCAAUGCAAUCUUCUUAAGCAUAGUCCAGCGAUAUAGACAAGAAUAUCGACAGACAACACUUUCACAUCAAGCAUAUUUAUGAUCUGUGAAGGUAUUGAUGGUCGUGGCUUGCUUUCUGCAUUAACAAUAAGAGGGGGAACACGUAUUGAUAUUGGUGCACGAAAAUGAUACACCCAGAGAAGAUGGGAAUAGACAGAGAUAAAAGAGGAAGCAAGAGGGUGCAUGGAAAUAUAAGCAACAUACUACGGACUUAAAGAUAUAGAGAUGAUUGGAGAGUGACUGGGGAUAUUACAACCUAACCCAGCAUGGCCAAUUCAGCCUGAGCUGCAAAUUCUUAACCGUCCACUCAGCUCCUUGGGAGAACGGCCAGAAUUUGCCAUCCCGAGGUCCAAAAAACUUGGAUCUUGCCUGAUCUCCUUCGUUGAAAAGUGGGCCAGGUGUUGGAUGACCAACACGAUCCGCUACCACGAACGAUUCGUUGGAAUUGCCAGAUCCAGCUAGCAUUCCAAUUAAAGCACUAUGGAUGAACCAAGUCAUCCACCAGCCUCCUCCUUUCUCGGUUAGAAUGGUGUCUACGAAUCCUGCAGCUCAGAUCUCAGAAACAAACUUCCCACGUUGCAGAGAAACGAACAGCUUCAAAUUCCACUCCAUUUUCCUAUUCGCCAUCCUUUUUUCUUUUUUUACAGAAUUUCUAUCAUGAAGUGCUCCUUCACGAAUAGCGGAGCAACGGAGAGUGGAGGGAGAUGGGACUGCAUGCAAAGAGACAUAGCUGCGAGUAUUUUCCAGCAUCUGAACAUCAUGGAGUUGCUGCUGCUAGUCCCUCUGGUGUGCCGAUCAUGGCGUGCCGCAUCCCUCGACCCCCUCUGCUGGUCCACCCUCGACAUGAGGCUCAUCGCCGAUUUAAAGGACUACUGGGAGUUUUCCGAUCCCAACAUUAAUGGACGAGUACAUAUGCGAGUGUUCAAAGCGGCCGUCGACCGCUGUGGAGCAGCAGUCAGAUGCUUCAUCUUCUCCAUAUUUGUCCCGCCGACCGAUGAGGAGUUGGAGUAUAUCUCUCAGAGGUUAGAUUCUAUCAUAAUUUUUUUGUCAUGGAGUCUACUCACUCGAUCGAGUGAGGUAUUGAGGUGCGACCAGGAAAUAUAUAUUAGCAAUCAUGCUGUUAAUUGUUAUUUUUUAUAUUUGCACCUAGCUGUCCCAAUAUCAGCUCUGGUUACCCACAAGCAUCCCUCAAUCCAUCAGCAGUAGUGCUGAGGAAUCAAACCAGCAGCCUGUGCUGUUGCCUCGGUCUCAUAUAAUUCCACCAUGACUUUUGUAUGUGUGGAAAAAAUCCAUUUUACUGACCCAGCAUAAGCCUUCGUUUAAGCUUCAACCUCGAGAGCUGGGUUGAAUCUCCUCAUUCACCGGUCGACACUCUCUAACGAGAUGCAUGCAGCUGCUAUCCUUCCCAAAGAUGUUAUCCUUGCGCGCGGUAACUGAGAUGGGGCAGUAUCAUCCGAACUAGCAUUGGUGGUCUAUAUACGAAAUCUGACCACACAAAAGAAAAGAUGUUCUAGAUCUCUUAUUGCAUGAUCAAUUUUUAUAGUUUUGGCAAUCACUUCUCAAAAAAGGUUUUCGACAUUCAUUAAAAUAUUCUUGGCAGAUGUCGCAACCUCAAGCAGCUUGUCUUGCCCAACUGUGAGCUCCUCUCAGCUGACGGCUUCUGCAAUGCCUUGAGCAAUUGGAGUGAGCUCGAGGAUUUAGCUAUGCACCCCAAAGACACAUAUCUAUGCGGUUGGCCUCCGAAUAGAUCCCUCCCUCCGUUGUAUUUCUCGAGGAUUAUGGAGGGCAUCGGCAUGCACUGCAAACGACUGAUCAAGCUCAGACUUUUGAGUUGUAUCAGUCUCUCCAACGCAUCAGAAAUAACAAAACACAUCCCUUGGCUCAAGAUUCUGGAUCUCUCAUUUGCGCCAAUAUCGGAGGCAGGCUUUGCACUUAUUUUAGAGGGCUGCAAGCAAUUGAUUCACCUAAAUAUCGCUCACUUCCGCAGUGAUACUGAAUAUCGGGGCAGCGGUUGGUGUCCAGCUGCCGGUGAAUUCAAUCCGGAGCUCAUCACCAGAGCAGCUCAUGGCCUCAAGGAAUUCAUCCGGUGCCACCCAGAUGAAUGUGACACGUGCCAAUCUAUGUUCCCUGAUCUGCACCUAUUAGAUGUCAGAUAUUUUUGGCUAUUAGAAGGGCAUCCAGUUUCGUUGGCAAAGGCCGCCUUUAUGGAUUUUUAUCCAAUCGAUAUUGGGUGGAGCUAUCUGAAUGCUCGGUUCAUCCCCAAAUAUAUAUCGACCACUUUAAUAUGCAACCGAAGAAAAAUUUUCUGGCAUCGCGGAAGGGUGCGGCGGGUCUAUGAAAAAACCUAUGGACAGAGCUUGAUUCUGUAAUGUGUCUUGCCUAGGACAUGUUUUCCUGACAAUUUUAUUUCUUACUCUUUGAUUUCACAAAUCAAACAAGACAAUAAACGAACCCUUCUCUGCUGAUAUCUAAAUUUGUUAUUUUAUCGUUAUUUGACAAAAUAAUUUUUUUAUGGUCAAAAUAAAUUUAAUUUUUAAGAAGAAAGAAUAAAAACACAAAAUAGUUGGAGUUAGGCCCAUGCAACUACUCCUGCUUCCGCCCGCGGUAUAUGAAGGCCCCUGGAGGAAUGCUAGAGUUAAAUCUCGCCACCUCAAGUCGAAGCGCCGAGCGACCUCCAAACAUCCUGACAACCAUAAGGCUAAAUAGAUUAAAUCUGUUGAAAUCACUACUUAUUCCAAAAGCUUAAGCUUUUAGGACAAGUGGUGAUUUCAACAUGGUAUCAGAGCAAAGGUACUAAGUUCGAACCAUGUCUCCGUACUAUUUAACUCCAUUAUUAAAAAUUUCACUUGGACUCACCCAUUAAAAAAAAGUCCGACCCAUAUGUAUCAGGACAAAUGGUGAUUUCAAUAAAAUCUUUGGCAACCACUUUCCACUAAGGUAAUCAUGAAUAGCCAUUAUUGAUUGUUUGGUUGAUUUAUUAGAAUAAUUGUGAAAAAGUGAAAAAGCAGAGAGAGAGAGAGAGAGAGAGAGAGAAAGCAGCAUAAUUGUGCACAUCGGCUAUGAUGUGAUUGCCUUGCAAGAAUCAGAGUAGGAGGGUCCAUCAUUGGGUUAAUGAAGUUGAUGUGCUCGGCCUCAUUACAAGCACAAAAGAAUUUUGGAAACCAGAAAAUACUGCUGUCUCCAGGAUGCACUAAAACAAAAGGAAAAUAUGCAUCAGCAGAAAAAUCUCAAAGGGACGGCCGUUUACUCCCUUGACCGGACCCUGCAAAUCGGAAUCAAGUCAUGCAUGGCCUCUGCUGAUUACUGUAAAAAGAGCCUCAAAACUCUGAAGCAGCAGCUUCAAAAGGAUGGUACAUUCUCUAUAGCCAACAAAAAGGAGGAUUUUAGGAGUGAUAUUAGUAUCAGUAAACAAAUCGUGAAAAUGAACAGAAUAAAUAUUUUGUAAGAGUAUUUUAGUACCCAUAUUGUUGCUGUGCAGAGCUUGUAUUUAAGGCUGUUAACGUGUUUCAAUUAUUCACCGUCAUCCUGGGUUUGCAGGUUCAUAGGUUCAGGAAUAUCUUCUGUUGGUGUAUGCACUGCGUCAUGAUCUAGCUGCAACAUCAGAGUUGAUAAACAAGUUGAAAACGAAUAAAACCUCUUCAGCAUCUUCAUUUGCUGAAGCUACAUUGUCUCUACACGAUUGGUUGAUGCUGUACAAAGAGGAAGAUUUAUAUACCUGGCUUCAUGCAUGAGGUUGUGGAACCUAACUCAUAACAUUCCAUGCUCAUUAUAGUUCAAGAAUCUUGUCCUUAUCUCCUCCCAUCAACUAUACUUUCAAUCCGCGUUUCAGUCUCCCUGGGGUAUUAUGUUGGCAGAUACCCUAAAAAUACAUUAUUAUCUCCUUGAACUCCCUUGUAAUAAAUACAAUCUUUUAUUUUAAUAGAUUUGAGUGGUCAUUACCACCCUUAUAUCAAAUAAAUAAAUAAAUAAUAAACAAAUUGAAAAUUUGAGAGAAAUAAACAAGCCAAAUCUUCGCAAAAAAACUACAAAAGUUGUACAAUAAUAAACAAGUUUAUCUUUGCUCCGAUACAAUAGUAGGAUAAUGGUUAGGCUACAUAUGAUCGUUCAUUGCCUUACUAUUCUUCACAACCAGGAAAGACUGGACUGUCAAGUUUAGCAUGAGAUCAGUCUUGACAUCCAUGAUCAGCCAUAUCCUACAACUGAUAUUUGGAUAUCUAAAAAUCCUUCAAGCUGGCAGCGCAUGAACUGAUAAAGCUUGUGAAAUAAAGAGUUGAACUAUGUCAGAGUCCCUCACAGAAAGAAGAAAAGAAAAUCCCUUAUCGUUCUUUCUUUUUUGGGUUAACAAAAUCCCUACCCUUUUUAAUGAACUAGUAUUCAAACUAUGAGAAUAAAUCCUAAUCAAACCAAGAUUUUGAAACACAAAUCCUUUAUACGAAUCCAAAAACUCUGCCCAAAAGCUUUUAAAAAUCAAAAAAAAAUCUUCGAACAGACUGGAUUUCAAACAGUAAAGAUCAUUCAAGAGAGAAAACUCAUCUUUUCAACAAAAUAAAACUCGAGUUAUAAGGACAUAAGCACUGCAUGCAAACCCAUGAUCCAAAGCAACAGAGACUCCUCAGAAGAAUCCAAGAACUGGAACCCUAAGAGAGAGAAAAGGAAGAAAAAAGCGGUCGCAAAAUCUGAGAACAAUAUCCAAAAAUCUAACAUGAAAGGAAACAUUAGAAAGAAGAAGAAGCCUGAAUCUUUUCCAUAAAGAUCCUUGGUGAUGUCCCUCCUCAUGUGGGACCCACAUCAUUUAAAAUAAAAAACGAAACAACGUGGCAGUUUUCUUUCAAGAACGGGGAGGCCGACGGUGAAAACAUAGAAAAGUUCUAAUAAAAGGGUGCUACUUUGUCAGAUAAUCGGAUGACUGAUUUUAUCCCAAUUUUGAUAAAAUUUUAGUAUGUUAUUUUCAGUAUUGAGAGCUACAAGUUGAACGGUUUGGAUCUUUGAAAAGUCUUCCUCCUUGAAUAUUUCAAGCAUCCACACUUGGUGAGACUCAUCCUCUAAUUAUUAUUUAUUGUUGAAAUCCGCCUUAUUGGUGAUGAUUUUUUUGUGUUGUGGAAGCUAAGAUUCAAUCUUGAUGAUGUUUGUAUAGCCUCUAGUUGAACUAGAGAAGACUUAUUAUAAUAAUCCCAUUAUUUUAAAUAGUGGAAGAUUUUGGCUAGAUUAGGUCCCGUAGUUUUUUCUUUCACAUCAAAGGGUUUUCCACAUUAAAAAUUGUGCUCUCUUGUUUGUGGGUUGCUUGCUUAUUUUGCUUGUUAAUAGUUUGUGUAGAUUAUUAUUGCUUGGUAAAUUGUAUUGAUAUCCCAUUUAAUUGCACAAAGAGAGAAAAGGAGUGGUAUUAUUGUUUUUUGAUUGCAUUUUUCCAACACUUCCGACAUUGAGUAAAUCCCAUGCCACUCUAACAAAGAAGGCAAUUUCUAGGGUUCUUGAUCGAUUUCUAAGGUUCGUAGUUUGCCUUCCUUUCAUUUCUUGUUUGUUGAUCCGAUGAUAGAUAUCAUUACAAUAAAGAACGGAGAAGAGAUGAAAGGGAAAGGAGCUAAAGAUUAUGGAAGGAAACACGAUAGAGAUGAAGAGAAGAGAGAGAUUACCAAAUGGGAAGGGCGUUGCCUUUGUGCCCAAAGCCAUGAACACAGCUCAUCGCCCAGGUACUCUCCAUUUCCUCUCUCGCUUUCUUGCACCUUUAUAGCGAAGGUUCCGUCCUAAGAUCUUGAGUUGAUAUAUAUAUACAUAGGUUGAGUAGAGGCCAAGAUUUGGUUGGCCAGAAGUAAAAUUCAUGACACAUUGCAAGCAAGCUGCAUAUGAUGAGAAGAAACCCCCUCCUGAAUCACUAAUAAUCCAAACGAUUUUAAUUAAGUGUAUGCUAUCAAACAAGUCGUACUAAGGAUAGCAUGUAAACCCAAAGAUUUGAAGACUGCAAUAAUAACAACAACUUGUUCAUGCUCAAACAAGUCGUACUAAGGAUAGCAUGUAAACCCUAAGAUUUGAAGACUGCAAUAAUAACAACUUGUGCAUGCUCCAGCACACAAAAAUAUCUACAAUAGAAAAAAGUGAAGAGUAUAGCAUAUGGGUACACAUCAAAAAGCAACAAGCAUUUACAGAAUCAAAAAACCACAUAAUUCAAAUUAUGAAACAUAUAUUGUAUAUUACAAAGCACCAAAACAAACUAAAAACCCAAUUCUAUAUUUACAUAGUAGUCCUUUUCAUGCCUAAUCAAAUUUUGCAAGUACUAGGAAGUUAAGGCUUGACCGGAAUCACAUCACGUUAUAAGAAUGACCAAACAUUUGGAAAGAAACAGAGGUAUAUGCACAGUCCAAAAACCUCCAUUCGAGAUGCACCAUGCUAAACGAAGCAAAAACCUACUCCAUUUGCCUUCAUCAAAGUUGCUGCUAUUUACAAGAACCCUCAUAAAGCCGAAGAAACAAAGAGUGAAGAAAUUAUCUCCCCUGCUUAACCACCAUGUCACAGUCUCAGCAACUGAACAAAGAAUUUGUGUAAGGUUCUAAAAUGCCUAGGGCGUCAUCAUCUAUUCAAUAAGUAGUUUUCUCUUUGCAUGAUUAAUUUUUUGAUUAACCUGCCAGCAAGAGUUGAAAUGGACUGGAGAGCACUUUAAGCAAAAUAACUAAAACAAUUAAAUAUUUGACGUGAAUUACUACAACCCAGUUCUAAUCCUUAAAACUAUUUACAGCCAGAUGUGAAUCAUUACAGCCCAGCUUGCAACAAUGUUCCAACCCAAUCAAUCAGGUUCAGUAAGAAUCUUUGACCUAAUGACCCGGUCUGGUAAGCCGGCUCAAUAAUGGGACCUAACUCGAUUUUGGUUGAACCCACCCGAAUAAUCAACUAACCAGAAAAUAUAAUACUACUGUUAGAUAAAACUAUGAUUAUAUUUCUUAUGCUUUCAUUUAAGGUCACUAUUAUAUUGAUCCAACAGUCAAUCCUUAUAGGGCUCAAAAAGAUUAGGGAAUAUAAUGGCUUGUUCAAAUACAUUAGGAUUCCAAAGAGGAUAUCUAUUCUUUAACUUGGUUUGGUUAGGUCACCUUUUCACUGAUAUACCAGGUAAUCAGACAAGAGUUACAAGAUUAAAUCGAAUGCUUAUACUUCAGGUCGGACUCAGAUCAAUCCCAAUCUUAUCUCAACCUGGUCCAUGAACAAGUAUAAUGAUGAGAAAGUAGGACUAAGGUGCAAGAGGAAUAAGAAAUUCAGAAAAUGACUUAGAUAUUAACUUAACAAUUUCGUUUUGAAUGUUACCUACAGCCAUUAAUAAGUGGCUUGAAUUUUAUAAUAAAUGUCACCUAUUUGAACUGUUGUUGAUGCUCUGACCUAAACCUGCUCUGAUAUCAAAAUUUUCUAACCCAUGCUUGGGACAAAUCAAGUUGAUAAAAAUUCAGUUGGUGGGUUAAAACAAACAUGGUCAAUCUUCGUCUAGCAAAUACACAGAAAUAAUUUCAACAUCAAGCAGUGCCUUGGGCCAAUCAAUAUAGGCAGAAGUCACAAAAGAAACUCGAGACUCCAAUACAUCAAGAUUGCAGCUCCUAACUGCAUGGUAAGAGAGGAGGUGGCAGUGGGGCAUAUCCAAGCAAUGAUAGAGAAAGUGAAGAGGAGAAGGUGAGGAAACAGGAGGUGAAGAUCACCAAUAGGGAGAGCAUGGGUUAGGUAAUGGUCAGGGAUUUAAAUUUUAAGAAUAUGAAGAUAUCCAUUGUGCGAUACUAUAUUAUGUCAUAUCAUAGCAUUUUACAUCGUAUCAAGUCAUAUCAUAUUAGUCACUCAAGCUUCAUUGGGGGUUGGUUGAGGCCAAGGGAAGCCCUUGCAUGGUCAAAAUCCAUCUCAAGUUUAAGAGGAUGAGCCUAACACAAUUCACUGGACAACUUUGUUCAGUUCCACUGGCGUUGAGCUAAUCUAAGCAUCCGAGCUCCUAGCAGUCAAAAGUUAAGAACGAAGGAUCAUAAUCUUGAUUUCUGCAUCCUAAAGCAGCAAGCCCAGUCCAAAAUAAUUAGUAAAAACAAUAUCGAUCCUUUCUUUCCAAGGCCAGAAACUAAACCACUUUCUCAGCAUAUUCCUACAUUAAAGCAGUACUUGGUACCCUUCACACAAUCUUAACAUAAAUGAAGCCAUUUUUCUAUGGGGCAGAACAAUCAGCAACAUUUAGCCUUUAUGAACUACAAUAAACAAGGCAUGAUAGAGGUAUUUCUUCUAACAUCACUAUGCUGUGAUUUGAUAAAAAUGGGUUCUCAUGAUGAAAGCAAAACAGAUUUCUAUAGCUUGCCUUCCUACAUAACCUGAAUUAUAAAGUUGAAAGGAGAAACCAUAGAAAACCUUAGAAAUCUAUCUUUACACGCCAGAAUACUCAAUAGAAGACACUACAUAUACAUGUAUCAUAAAGCAUGCGAAGUCUGUUUACUUGAAGCAUAUAUAAAGAAUUGCCCAUAACAACCAAAACUUUACAUACCAACAUAAGGAGCAGCACUGCAGCAAUAAUGCAUUGAACUUGAUAAAGCUCUGCAAGACUCCAGCCUUCAUGAAACAUCAAGUAAGAAAUCAUUUGCAAGCUGCACACUUAUUAGUAAAUUGCAAACAACAUGGAGCUCUCAAAAAAGAUCAGCAUGUCAAGUUAAUAUAAGAUAUGACAUAAUGAGAAGGCAAAAAGGGCUUUGCGUCUUUUAACCAGUACUAGAGUACAGAAAUUAAUCACAAUAAAAUUGCUCUCCAUGCUUUGAUCAUCUUCAAAAACUUUUCCAAUUGCAGAUAAACAUUCUUGCCAGCAUUCUGUCUGAAUAACCUUUUAUCUGCAGAUAAGAGAAGCAUGAUCAAACCAUCAUGGUAGAGUGCUAUCAACAAGGUUCUUACUGCAACUACAAAUAAAAUUAAUUUUAUGAAUUACUGAUUGUACCAAACAAAGAUGAUAAAAUCAGGUUCUUCCUGGAGAGUCUGACCUGAGACAUUUCCACCUGACAAAAAAAGGAAGGGUAGGGGGAGUGGAUCUGGAACAUAGGUAAUACCUUUUGCUGCCAAAUGCACACUUAGACCGUGCAGUCUACAAGAUUAGCAGAACUACAGAAAGGGGAGAUGAAUUUCACCAAGCUCACAAUUGAGGCAGUGACAAUACAAAAAUCAUUUAGUACAGUCCUGGUGAGCAAAGUAAGCGGGUCAACACCAUGUGGUACCAUUGGUAGUCACAAGCAAAAGCUGUCCAAUGGCUUAAAAACAAAAAGAAAUGACUCAUAAUAGGUUGUCCAAACAGUCAAUUUUGUUGCAUAAGCAUAAGCAAUGGGAAAUGACCAUUCGGUACAGUGACUGUAUACAAUACUAUAUGUCACGCCCCAAACCCAGUAUCCGGGUCCGGUACGCGACCAGCUGCAUGAGCCCUAGAGCAGUGCCCUAAAGAUCAUGCAAGGCCUAAGAUGAAAAAAAUCUGAUAAUUCCACAGUUAAUCACUUAAUUCAAAUAGAUAAAUCCAACAUGUCCAAAUAAUCAAAUUGGUUCAAUUACCAGAUCUUCAAAUGCUCAUCGGCAUAAAAAAAAAACUAAUUAACUAAUUAAUAACUCUGAUACUCGUACUCCGCGCCCAACCCAUCAAUAUCUAUGCAUCCUGCAACUCUGAAAAGAGAAAGAAGAAGGGGGGUGAGCUUUACAGCCCAGUAAGAACUCCUACACAUCCAUACCAACACAAUAGUAAUAUGAACUUGAAAACCAUGACAAAUCGAUGCACAUUUCAUGAAAUCAUAAACCGGCUAUCAAAAGGCUCAAAUAAUCAAUAUAAGUAUGUACGUCAAACAUCAAUGAAAGUCCAGCCAUAUAAGAAUGAUAUAUCAUAUGAUAGCUCAUAAAUCUUUCUUACUGCUUUCAAUGCCUUUUAUUUUCAUUCUAUAUUAACUCGAUCUGAAUCAAUUAUCUUUCCGACUUUGGGCUACAUCCCGAUCACGUUUUCGGCCCGUGAUGGGGCAAUCGAUGGUAUCACAUUUCCAGCCUGUAACGGGGCAAUCAAUAAUAACGAGAUAAGCCCAAAGUCCAUGUUCAUUUAAUCAAUUAACAAACACACAUCAAUCCCUUUUUUCACUUUAUUUCCGACCUAGACUAACCACGGUCACGUUUUCGGCCCGUGACAGGGCAAUCAACAUAACAUGGUUAGUCUAGACCACCAUAUCCAUAAAUCCAAUUAUGUAGGUAUAGGUUAUACGCAUACAUGCAUCCAUCAUAAUACCAAUCACAAGCCAAUACGAUCAAAAUACAAUUUUAUAUAAAAUUAUUUUUGCUUUGUCUGGAUCAUAGCAUAUCAUACAUAUAUGGAAAGAGAAAAGGUAAGAGAAGACCCAAAUAAACUCCCUUUCUCUCUCUCUCUUCUUCAUUCUUUCCGACAGAAAGGGGGAAGAUGCUCGGCAACAAGCGGCCCACGGCCGGCGAUGCCCCAUGGUCGUCGGCCCGUGGCGGUGCCGGCGGUGCGUCAUGCUCGGCGACGGCCGGCUGAACGAAAGAAGGGACCAAGCCACCGAGAGCAGGAUCGGUUCUCCUCAAUCCGGCAGCUUACCGGCCAUAUUCCCAAAGAAGUAAUGGCCCAAAGAUGAAGGAGAAGGAGGAGAGGGUGCUCACCUUGCCUCCGGCGAGUUCCCUCGGCUAGAUCGGUGGCGAAUACUCCGAUCUCCUCUCACAGAUUGCUUGGCGGUCAAUCCUCCUAUGGAAGGGCUCUUGGUUGAUGCCCUAGGGAGGAGGGGAAAGGGAGUCUUUAUAGGCAAGAAUAAGGCUCAAUUUAGGUAAGAUUUGAGCCCCGUUUUCCUUUGGUUUUUUUUCCGAUGGAUUCGGGAGGAUGAAGAUGGGUUUGAAAUAGGGGAGGGAGAAGACCUGAUUGGGAGUCUCCCUCCCCCUUCUCAUGGUCGGAUUGAUACCCCAAGCCCAAUAAAAUGUGGGCCUUUACAUUCUCCCCCCCUAAAAAAAUUUCGUCCUCGAAAUUAGCAUACCUGAGGUUUCAAAUAGUUGUGGAUGCUUGACCUUCAUCUCUUCUUCGAGCUCCCAAGCAGCCUCUCUUUCGAAUGAUUGUUCCAUUGUACUUUCACAAAAGGAAUGGUUCGAUGCCGUAGUACCUGAUCUUUUCGGUCCAUGAUUCGUGUUGGAAACUCCUCAUAGGUCAAAUCCUCAGGAAGAUGUAAUGGCUCAUUUGCUAUCACGUGACUUGGGUCUGGGACAUAUUUUUUUUCAACAUUGACACAUGAAAAAUAUUGUGCACACUGGAUAAAGUCGGUAGUAAAGCCAGUCGAUAUGCCACCUCUCCAACCUUGUCCAAAAUCUCAAAAAAAAACCAACAUACCUAGGGCUCAAUUUACCACGAAUCCCAAAUCUCAUCACUCCCUUAGUGGGUGACACUCUCAAGAAAACAUGAUCCCCAAUUUAAAAUUUCAGUUUUCUCCUUCUAUUAUCAGCAUAACUCUUUUGACGACUCUGAGCUGUACGAAGUCGUUCUCUGAUCACUUGUACCUUAUCUAUGGUCUAUUGCACUAUCUUUAGGUCUAAUAAUUUUCUCUCGCCCACAUCAUCCCAACAAAUAGGAGAUCCAUGUUAAAACAUUCCAAGUCUAAGACCAACCAAGGAAUCAUCAACCGUUAACGCUAAAUUUAAGAUACCCAAGAUUCUCCCAAAAGUUGUCAACAAUAGAAGAACCCACUGGUGAAAAUUACAUAGCUACCUUUAGAUCAUCCAUAGAAUCAACAACAUUCUUCUCUACUGGAAACUAACUCAAGUGUUCCAUCAUAAUACCUUUUAAAUCAAAUAUUAAUGUCUUUAACCAGUUUCAAAAUAACUCAAACCACCACACUUCCGCUGCGCACUCUGAUUUAAUUCAUUAAAUGCUCUAAAGCCUCUAAAUGAUUUAUGACUGAAAUAUCACUUUGUACUAGGAGUAAGAAAAUCUAAAUUUUAAAACUUUAAUUGAGCAGAACCUCCAGAUCUCUCUAUCCUCAAUUUAUGUAGAGUAUACUUACCAUAACUAAGUCUAAAGCUAUUAGUCAAGUUUAAGGUCACUGCAUGAUCUCCACAACUUAGAAUCCAAAAUAUUUAGGUUUAAUUAACUUUGGAUUUUCUUAACAAUUCGAUUAGACAAUCUAGAUUGAUCUUCCUUCCAACAGGAUUUACUCCAAAUUCAAUGGGUUAAAAGUUACUGAGCCAAUAUCACUAUGAUUAGAAAUUAACUCUAUCAACCUUCAAAUCUUUCUUUACCAAGAUUCUUAAUAUGUAUGAUCAAUGUUAUAUAUGAUAACUCACAUAAGCAUCUCAAAAUCUAAAUCUCUACUUAAUGACAAAGAUUCCUGGUUAGAUCAUAAAUCUAGACUUUAGUUUAAAUUACACAUCCAAUAUUCUCUAACAAUUAUAAGAAAAAUCCAAUAGCCUGAUCCAAAUAUGAGAAUUCAAUUUACUACAAUUUCCACCAAUUUGCAUACUCUAUGGCCUUAAGAAUUUAAUCCACCGAUAGGAAUACAUCUAUUGCAAUAUCUAAGCAUGCCAAUACCAAAUAUAAUCCAUAUGCAGAUUUAACCUCGAAAAACAAUCUAAUCUAAUAUUAUGAAAAAUCUUUCUUAGCUCACUCCAAUACUAUGACAGGUCCAUGCACAAAGUAUACUUCAAAAAUUAGCAGCAAAACCAAAAAUACUAUUACAUCUACACCCAUAUCAAGUUUAAACUUCCAAAUCAUUGACGCAAUAUCUAAAUAUGAUAUAACUGAUAUGCCAUGGUUAACCUUCAUACACUUACGUUAGGUCUAACCUCUCGUAUCAUGAUCAGAGACAAUUUAUCCAAUCUUUCCAUACUUAUCGAAUAUCAAACCCAAUACUUAUAUUUUAUCACAAUGCCGAGUGAUCUUACACCUAAGCAUUAAAUUUAAUUCUGCUACUUUAUGUCAAGUUCAGAAUGAUCAUAACCUCAAGAUCUGACACAAUUCUAUCGCAAUCCCUGGUGAUCCUAAACUUAUGCUUUGGUUCUAAUUUUGUCACUAUCCCCAAUGAUCUUAAACCUCAAACUGUAAUGCCACUAAGGCCAGAGUCUCUAGUUGUCUUAAACCUUAGAUUAUAAUAUCAUUCCUGUUACAAUGUCAAGUGAUUAUAAACCAUGGCUCUAAUAGUUUUUCUAUCAUAAUUGCCCACGCACACUCACCUGAACCUAAACCCUAGGAUACCUUAACUUGAAGCUCUGAUACCACUCUAUCACGCCCCGAACCCAGCACCCGGAUCCGGUACGCGACCGGCCGCAUGAGCCCUAGAGCAGUGCCCUAAAGAUCAUGCAAAGCCUAAGAUGAAAAAAAAUCUGAUAAUUCCAUAGUUAAUCACUUAAUUCAAAUAGAUAAAUCCAAUAUGUCCAGAUAAUCAAAUUGGUUCAAUUACCAGAUCUUCAAAUGCUCAUCGGCAUCAAAAAAAAUAAACUAACUAACUAAUUAAUAACUCUGAUAAUCGCACUCCGCGCCCAACCCAUCAAUAUCUAUGCAUCCUGCAACUCUGAAAAGAGAAAGAAGGGGGUGAGCUUUAUAGCCCAGUAAGAACUCCUACACAUCCAUACCAACACAAUAGUAAUAUGAACUUGAAAACCACGACAAAUCGAUGCACAUUUCAUAAAAUCAUAAACCGGCUAUCAAAAAGCUUAAAUAAUCAAUACAAGUAUGUACGUCAAACAUCAAUGAAAGACCAGCCACACAAGAAUGAUAUAGCAUACGAUAACUCAUAAAUCUUUCUUACUAUUUUCAAUACCUUUUUUUUUCUAUUCUAUAUUAACUUGAUCUGGAUCAAUUAUCUUUCCGACUUUGGGCUACAUCCCGGUCACGUUUCUGGCCCAUGACGGGGCAACCGAUAGUAUCACAUUUCCAGCCUGUGACGAAGUAAUCGAUAGUAUCACAUUUCCAGCCUGUGACGGAGCAAUCGAUAGUAUCACAUUUUCAGCUUGUGACGGGGCAAUCGAUAGUGUCACAUUUCUAGCCUAUGACGGGGCAAUCGAUAAUAUCACAUUUCCAGCCUAUGAUGGGGCAAUCAAUAAUAACGAGAUAAGCCCAAAGUCCAUGUUCAUUUAAUCAAUUCACAAACACACAUCAAUCCCUUUUUCCACUUUAUUUCCGACCUAGACUAACCACGGUCACGUUUCCGGCCCGUGACAGGGCAAUCAACAUAACAUGGUUAGUCUAUACUACCACAUCCAUAAAUCCAAUUAUGUAGGUAUAGGUUAUACGCAUAUAUGCAUCCAUCAUAAUACCAAUCAUAAGCCAAUACGAUCAAAAUACAAUUUAAUAUAAAACUAUUUUUGCUUUGUCUGGAUCAUAGCAUAUCAUACAUAUAUGGUACAAAAGUAUUUAUAUCAUGCAGGUUGGUGUACAAGAAUUCUUACACUUUGUUGAAAAACUCAGACAAACUAAUCACCCGCCCUCAUGGCGAUCAAUGAAUUGGGAUGCUCAGAACCCCGCUCAGCGUCCUCUCGUCCAACAAAUUGUUUCCCUACAGAAUCAACUCAUCAUUAAAACUUAUCCAAGAUAUAUGACAAUCCAGAACCCUCAAAACAAUAAUCUCUCCGGAUCCAAGGUUAGGGAGAGAACCCCCAACUAGAGAGAAAAGAAAAAAACAUAUAAUAAGAGAAAAGGGAAAGGGAAGAGAAGACCCAAAUAAACUCCCUUUCUCUCUCUCUCUUUUCUUCAUUCUUUCCGACGGAAAGGGGGAAGAUGCUCGGCAGCAAGCGGCCCACGGCCGGCGAUGCCCCAUGGUCGUCGGCCUGUGGCGGUGCCGGCGGUGCGCCAUGCUCGGCAACGGCCGGCUGAACGAAAGAAAGGACCAAGCCACCGAGAGCAGGAUUGGUUCUCCUCAAUCCGGUAGCUUACCGGCCAUAUUCCCAAAGAAGUAAUGGCCCAAAGAUGAAGGAGAAGGAGGAGAGGGUGCUCACCUUGCCUCCGGCGAGUUCCUCCGGCUAGAUCGGCGGCGAAUACUCCGAUCUCCUCUCAUAGAUUGCUUGGCGAUCAAUCAUCCUAUGGAAGGGUUCUUGGUUGAUGCCCUAGGGAGGAGGGGAAAGGGAGUCUUUAUAGGCAAGAAUAAGGCUCAAUUUAGGUAAGAUUUGAGCCCCGUUUUCCUCAUUUUUUUUUCGGUGGAUUCGAAAGGAUGAAGAUGGGUUUGGAACAGGGGAGGGAGAAGACCCAAUCGGGAGUCUCCCUCCCCCUUCUCAUGGGUUGGAUUGAUACCCCAAGCCCAAUAAAAUGUGGGCCUUUACACUAUAAUGAGUGUGAAUUGAAGCCUUUAAUUUCCACGUCUGUAUGAUGGACCCACAAUGAUCCAACACUAAUUUUACGUUAGUCUAGAUGGAGAAGUCACCUGAAGCAGGCUGAUAAUGAUCCAAGAAACUAUAAUAGGACUGGAAUCACCCAACAGCUUAAGGUAUCACUCUUAUCAUUUCUAUAGAGGUACACUCUAGUAUACCUUAGAAGAAUCUACUUGCCGCAAAAUAAAAUGCAGAGUCCAAAGGACAAACCAUAGUACAACAGGUAGAAAGUCCAAAUUUGUAUUCGACACAGAAAAAUUCAUAGCACAAAAUAAAAAUAUAACAGUUUGAAAGGGAUGUGUGUAUUGUGAAUCCAAUAGAUUGUAACUUUAAAUAUCUUCCGAAGCUGGCAGAGCAUGAACUAAUCAAGGUUGUGGAAUAAAGUGUCGAACUAUGCCAGAGUCCCUAAUUUUCUUUCUUUCUUUUUUUGGUUAACAAAAUCCCUAACCUUCUUAAUGAACUAGCAUUCUAACUAUAAGAAUAAAUCCUAAUUAAACCAAGAUUUCGAAACACAAAUCCUUUACAAGAAUCCGAGGACUCUGUCCAAAAGCUUUUUAAAAAUCAAAAAAAAAAAUUACUUUGAACAGACUGGAUUUCAAACAGUCGAGAGAGAAUCUCAUCUUUUCAGCGAAAUAAAAUUCGAUCUUUAAAGACAUGAACACCGCAUGCAGACACAUGAUCCACCGCAACAGAGAUUCCUCAGAAGAAUCCAAGAACUGGAACCCUAAGAGAGAGAAAAGAAAGACCCUGAUCUUUUCAACAAACCAGAAUUCAAACAAUAAAAGUAAAAUCGUAAAUGAGAAAGCGAAACAAAAAGCCGUCGGAAGAAUCCGAGAACUAUAUCCAAAAGUCUAACAUGAAAAGAAACAUUAGACAGAAGAAGAAGCCCGAAUCUUUUCAAUGAAGAUCGCACUUGCGACACCGAUUAAAUCCCACGCCCCUCUAACAAAGAUUGCAAUUUCUAGGGUUCUUGAUCGAUUUCUAGUGUUCUUGGUUUCCUUUCCCUUUCUUUCUUGUCUGUCGAUCCGGUGAUGGAUACCAAUGGAGAAGAGAUGAAAGGGAAAGAAGGAGCCAAAGAUCUUUGAAAGAAACGCGAGAGAGAUGAAGAGAAGAAAGAGAGAUUACCAGAUGGGAAGGACGUCGCCUUCGUUGCCCUGGUGCUCUCCAUCUCUCCGUCUCCUCUCUCGCUUUCUUGCACCUUUAUAGCGAAGGUUCCGCUCCUGAGAUCUUGGGACGACAUAUAUAGGUUAAGCAGAGGCCUCGAUUUCGUCGCCGCAAGUUAUUAUUAUGCGGACGUUUUAUAGACGGUAUAGACCGCCACGUGUAACGAAAAUAUUUAUGCGCAAAAGGCCUGGAUUGGUUCGUCAAGAUUCGUACCAUGAACCAUGAUGUCCCUACAUCCUCUCUCCCUUCCUAGUGUAGUUAUGAACUUGAAAGAAUCCUCACUUGCUAAUAGUUUCAUGGUAUAAUUAACGCCCACCUUACAUCUUAUAGACAUCCCAGUAUUGCAAUUUAGAUGACACGCCAACGAAAAUGACUCAAUGGGAAACAUCACUAAAGUUCUAAAAAACUUAAAAUUCAUAUAUGCACGAGAUCUAGCAACACUCUGUAAGUAACAAGCAUAUAGUGACACAAUGGAUGAAUGAUAAUUUUGUAUUUCAUGUUGGACAUAUUACUUCAUGUUUGGAUGAUGUUCGUAUGUAUUAAAAUAUCCAUUACUUCAAACAUAUUUUAGAUUCAAACAGCAUUUGCAACUAUUAUGCUUAAUCCAUGAGAUUAUCCAAAUCUUGGCGAUGAUACGCAAGAAAUUGUUUACAAUAAGCAAGAAACUUGCUAGCAUGUGAAACUUUUGCGCUGCUCAUCAUCACUUAACCAGCAAUUGUUAGACAAUGAUGUGGCCUAAAUCUAAUCCGCCCAUUACGGCUCGGCACGUGACGAGCAUUUUGAAAAGAUUUGAAUUUGAAAAAAUGUAACUUUUUCGUAGGGUCCAAACCAGAAAGGAGAUUAUAGCAUCUUUGAAUCAAAGUAAGGAAAGAAGUCACGACAGUCCCUUGAUUUCCGCCUCCAAAUCAUAAUAGAUAUAUGCUCCCUCCUCUAUAUAAAUAAGGCCAAGGGACUCCAAAAGAGGGAGAGAAAGCAAUGGUUAGAGGUUCCCGAGAACAAACGGCGAGAAGCUCCAAAAAAGAAGCUCUCAAGAUCUCAUGGUAACAAGACGAGCUCUCAUGGAGAGAAGCUCCCGUGGAGAGGCCUUCGAGCUCUCAUAGCUACCUCUGUGCCUAACUCCUCUUCCAUAACCAUCCCCGCAUGCUAUCUCCUCUACAUAUGGGAUAUGCGUCCUUAGAGACUAGGGUAAGCAUCCUUAGAGGCCGCCCUUCUAUAUCAACCGAGAUCCAAGCACCGUGCGUAUGACACCCGCAUCCUUGGAGACUAGGAUGCGAGUUCCUAGAGGCCAUGCUCUUUUGUGCCACUGGAGACAUGAGCGUCAUGAUGCAGGAUGCGCGUUCGCCGACCGGAGCCAUGUCGAACUCCUAGUCUGCGCAUCUUUAGAGACUAGGAUGCGAGUCCCUGGAGACCGGAAUGCGUGACCACCGACCAGAGCCAAGCCGAGCUCCCAAUCCAUACUCCCAGACUAAGCUAUUAGUCUGUGCUCCCAAGCUAAGCUCCCAGUCCAUGCAUCCUCAAAGACCAGGAUGCGAGUCCAUGAAGGCCAGGUUGCGCGUCUCCCGACCAGAGCUAUAUCAAGCUCCUAGUCAUGCUCCUAGUCUGCACAUCCUUGAAGACCAGCAUGAAGUCCCUAGAGACUAGAACGCCGGACUUCCGACUAGAGCCCUAUCGAGCUCCCAAUCCAUGCAUCUUCGAAGACCAAGACAUGAGUUUUUGGAGACUAGGACAUGAGUUUCUAGAGACCGGGAUGCGUGGCUGCCGACUAGAGCCAAACUAAGCUCCUAGUCUGCAUAUCCUUGGAGACCAAGAUGCAAGUCCUUUGAGACUGAGACAUGCAUUUGCCGACCAGAGCCACGCCGAGCUCUCAAUCCGCACUCCCAAUCUAUGCAUCCUUGGAAAACUAGCACGUAAAUCCCUGGAGAUUGGGAUAGCGACUACUGACUAGAACCAUGCCGAGCUCGCAGUCCAUGCUCCUAGUCUUUGUGUCCUUAAAGACUAGGAAGCAAGUCCCUGGAACCGGGACACAUGACCACCGACCAAAGCCAUGUCGAGCUCCUAGUCUGCGCAUCCUUGGAGACUAGGACGCGAGUUUAUGGAGAUCUGGAUGCGACCGUCGACCAGAGCCAAGCCGAGCUCCCAGGCCAAGUUUCCAGUUCGUGCUCCCAGUCUGCACAUCCUCAAAGACCAGGACGCGAGUCCCUGAAGACUGAGACAUGCGUCCGCGUGCCAGAGCCUUGCAGAGCUCCCAAUAUGUGCUCCCAAGUCGUGCAUCCUUAGAAACCACCAUGCAAGUCCCUGGAGAUCGGGAUGCGCGACUGCCGACCAUAUCCAUGCUAAGCUCCCAAUACGUGCUCCUAGUCUGCACAUCUUUGGAAAUUAGGAUGCGAGUUCCUGGAGACCAGAAUAUGUGAUGCCGACUAGAGCCAUGAUGAGCUCCCGAUCCACGUAUCUUUGGAGAUUAGGAUGUGAUUCCUUGAAGACUGGGACAAGCGACCAUUGAUCAGAACCAUGCUAAACUCCUAGGUCAAGCUCCCAGUUCACCCAUCCUUGGAGACUAAGAUGCGAGUCUCUAAAUACUAGGACGUACAACUGGCGACUAGAGCCAUGCCGAGCUCCUAGUUCGUGCAUCUUUGGAGACUAGAACACGAGUCUCUAGAGAUCCGGACGUGCAAUCUCUGACCAAAGCCAUGCCGAGCUCCUAGGCAAACCUCCUAGUCUGCGCUCGCAGUCUGUGCAUCCACGUAGACUAGAACGUGGGUCCUUGGAGACCGAAACACGUGUCCGCCGACCAGAGCCAUGCCGAGCACUCUAGGCCAAGCUCCUAUAUCGAGCACUCUAAGUCGAGUACUCCAAAUCAGACACUCAAGGCCUAACGAUCUAGGAAAAUCAUCCUACUCUGAUGUUUUUUAUUUUCUUGCCAUUUCAUGCUGUUAAUCCAAAGCCUGUUUGACUUAAGCAUCAGAGGAGGCCCGACCGGAGCCAUCGUGAUGGACCUUUCGCUUCUCUCUGUGUGCAAAUCUGCAACUCUCUAAGGUAGUUGGCGCUCCGUUGUUUGCCAUCAUGGAUCGAGCAGGUUGUUCUGCACCCCGCACACCUCCAGAUCAUCAAAAUAUAAUCGGGCAUGAUUUAGGCAUCAACAGGCACAUACACGAACCUGAUCAAAGAGCAUAAAAGAUUGAAUCCCGUUUUCUUUUAUUUGUUUUUUAAAUAAAAUUCCCGUUUUCCCUAUUACUGGGCCCACCAAUCCAUCAAACAAACCAGUCCCACAUCAUAAGUUUUAAGAUUUAGAAACAUCAACCAUAGUCGACUCGCAGAUCUCCACCGUCGAAUACACAUCCCCCGAUCAAACGGACGAGAUGUUGUCUCUGAAGCUGGUGGACCCGGAUUAACUUUCACGCGCCUCCUCUCCCAGGCUCUUUUGGAUUCGGCAAAACUUGGGCCGACGGACAUGAGAAGAAUACGCCGCCCCCCUUCUUUGCCCAUCCUUCGUCUUCUUCUCACGGCAUCAUUCGUCCUCCCCCCUCUUCUUCUCGAUUCCCCGAAAAAAAACUGAUCAAGAAUCUAAUCUCUAGGGUUUCGUUUUCGUCGAUCAAUCAAUCUUGGAAUCGAACGGCAUCGAUGGCGAAGAAGAGCAAGUCGGAGGCGACGCGGCUGGACGAGGUGGAUCGGAGCGUGUACUCGACCUUCUGCGGCGCGGCGAACUCGCUGUCUCAGAUCUACACGCAGGCGAUGGCGCAGCAGAAGGUCGCCUUCCAGGCCGGAGAGCGCCACGCCUUGGUUUGUCUGUCCUCCCUUCUCCCUCUCACUCUUCUUGCUUUCUCUCAGCUUCUUUUGUUUGCCGAUCGGCGAUGAGAUAUGUCUGCCCCAUAUGCGCCUCUUUUCUUUGGCUUUCUUGUGUGGGUUUUUCGUUGAUAAUAAUGGAAUCCUUUUGUUUUCCUUUUCCUUUAAAAGGAAUUAUGUUCUACUUGAUGAAUGGGUUUUAGUCGACGGAAUAAUCUAUUUAGUGGGGCGUAUCCUAUGAUUGUUGAUAUACUUUCAGAUCCAAAUCUUUUUUUCUUUUGUUUUGAUUCAGUUGCUUGUUAGCUUUUAUAAAAGAAAGGAAAAUUUGUUGGUGUGUUGUUCGAUUUUGCUUUAAUCAUGGGGAAAUCUUCUGGUGCACGAGCUUCUCUUUGCUUAAUAAAUCUCAAGUGGCGAUAAAUUUGUCCUGCACUGUGAGGAAUUUUUCCCCCUCUUUAGUUACUGUGUUUAUAUUUGUUUCUGUCUUCUUCUUCUUUUAAUGCUAUCUUUCACAGAUAACUCCCCAAAAACUCUACCAGUGGAUUCUGAGGCAGCAUGAGGAUGGGGCAAGGGUGACUGCAGCAGAUGUCAUGACUUAUNNNNNNNNNNNNNNNNNNNNUCUUUCUCCUUCAUUGGUGACGGUCCCUUGGAGUAUUUUUCAAAUGCUGCAUACCGCAAUUAAAGGGGUGAUAGAUGAGCACUAUUUCUCACUUUUUAUUAUGAAUUAUAAGCAUGCUCUAACUAGAACUUGUCAUUCUUCUUAUCAUAGACGUGGAAAAUUGAAGUGAGGUUACUGGUCCUUUCUUGGAUCAAAGGUUUUAUCUACUCCAGUAGUGAAUGUACUAGGAUAAUGAUAACAGUAGACAACUCAGAACAAUGCCUUUCUUUUUAUGGAUUUUUUGCCUUGAAUCUAUUGCAAUUGAAAUUUUUGUUUAGAGUGGAUCCCAGGCUGUGCCAGUAAAUUAAUCAAGUGUGACUUUCAUUUGCCUGUACUUUUCAUAUGUCAAUUUUGAUCUAUAUGGAUUUUCUGUUUUAUGAAAAAUUCAUAAGCAAGCUGCACUCACAAAUUCAGAUUAACUUCAGCCCUGAUGAGCUCUUCACAAAGGUCUUGCCUUUUAGCUAGUAGUUAUAUAGUUUACUCCAUUUUAAUUUGGGGAUGGUACUUUCAGUUUCAAGGNNNNNNNNNNNNNNNNNNNNNNNNNNNNNNNNNNNNNNNNNNNNNNNNNNNNNNNNNNNNNNNNNNNNNNNNNNNNNNNNNNNNNNNNNNNNNNNNNNNNNNNNNNNNNNNNNNNNNNNNNNNNNNNNNNNNNNNNNNNNNNNNNNNNNNNNNNNNNNNNNNNNNNNNNNNNNNNNNNNNNNNNNNNNNNNNNNNNNNNNNNNNNNNNNNNNNNNNNNNNNNNNNNNNNNNNNNNNNNNNNNNNNNNNNNNNNNNNNNNNNNNNNNNNNNNNNNNNNNNNNNNNNNNNNNNNNNNNNNNCUUCUAAACGUACUCUCUCUCUCUCUCUCUCUCUCUCUCUCUCUCUCUUCCUCUGUGUGUGUAUGUUUCCCCUGCUUUAACUGGGACAUAUAUUGUGUAUUUUUUCAUUGCACUUUUUUCCUUGGGUGAGCAAUUAGUAGGAGCCUUUUUCAAUCGGAUUUAAUUGUUGAUUUAUAAAUUGUAAUAUAAUUUCCUUGCCUAUUUUGUGGGAUUUUGCUUUUUGUGGGUUGGUUGUUUCUCUAACAUAAUUGGCCUAAGCACUCUAGGCUGACUGUCUUGUGAUGUUUAAUACUUCACGUUCUUUGUUUACGAAACUACAAGUUUUGUUGAAAUUGGUCCUCGAAUCAAGUCCCUAUAAGGUAUAAGGUUGUUUCUCUUGGGGGUGUUUAGGUGCCAUUUAAUUCUGUACAAUGAUUAGAAAGCUGGAGAGUUCAAUCCUUGGAUAGAAUUGCCCUGGGUAUGCUUUGGAAUAGUUCAAGAAGAAGAUGCAUGAAAACAAGGUAACUGAAGAUGCAUAGCUUCUGUUCGAGAGUCCAGCUUUGAUCCAACAUGAGGUGGUUAAUUCUGAGUAUCUCGGGUGGAUGGCAUGUUAUUUAUAGCACGACAAGGCAUACAAGUAGUCGUAUGGGCUUGCACAUAUGAUGCUUGAUGAGUUAUUCACUUUUCUUAGUUAUGCUUAGCACUAUAAUGGAAUCAUGAAUGUUAAACAUAAUACAAACCUGACACUUGUUAGUCCUUACAGUAAUUGAAUUUUAUGAUAUUGGUUGCAUCUUUCUAAUACAUAUAAACCCAUCAUUUUCAUUUAGAUUGAUUUUCAUUGCAGCCAUAUGCUAGUUUGUGCCCACUUUGCAUCUGUUUGUUGGAAGCACACAGUUGUGACACACUUAAAAGAGCAAAAUGUUGGUUGCUCUUUUAGUUCCUUAAAGACUCUUGGGUUUUAGUGGUUCAUGGGAGAAGUCCCUAUUAAUAUGUUGCUCGAAACCUUGUAGAUUUUUAGUUGUACAUGGAUGAUUUUGACUGCCUUUUUGAGCUAUUGUCAUCAGUGUCCCUGAAACCUCAAGAUAUCUACCUCAUGCACAAUUUGUCUGAUUUAUUUCAUGCGGUGGGAAAAUGGAAUAAGAAGUUGGAGCUUUUUGAUGUUCAGAUUCCCCAUUACCUCUAUCUCGUGGUGAAUUAGAUGGAUGUAAAAGGGAUGUCAUUGGGUUGGGUCUAGGCAGAGCAUAUACAAAAUUUAGAAUAGGCUCAACGGAAUGACAUGGCUCAAAACUGUGUAAGAUGAGGCCAGUGAAUCUGUCUGUUGACAUCCCUAUGGACAACCAUUUACUCUAUGAGAUCCAAAAAUGUAAUCUUGUACUACAUCUAUUUAAGCUGCUUGAUUAUUAAUCUGUACCAGGAGAUAGGUGUAUCAUCUUUAAUUCCAUAGCUUGUUUUAUAGGACUCAGGCUUGCUUUAUGGUGUGUUGAUCUUUAUAGCUAAAAGAACAAAUGAUUGUCUCUAAGUGGAUGCGUAGAAUCUAUUGGAUGUUCACUUGGUGACACUUCACUCAUUUUAUUAGUAGUUUUAAAAUUUUAAGGGCUCCCUGGAUCCAUCGUUUUCCUUCAGUAAAUCUGGGCUUUAGAAGUGGACAUAUGUCUAUCAUAUUUUACAUGUGGCACAAGCGAAAGCACAAAUAAAUACUAUAAUGAACCUAGGAAGAUGCAGCAUGAUGGAUAUGGUAAUUCCUUAUUAGGUGUGAUGAAAAAACCAGUGUGUCACCUUGAGUCCUUGUACUUACAGUCACCUUUGGUUUGCACAAAAUAUCUGCAGCGAUGCUAACAACCAUUCAGCCAAAUGCUUGUUUACUUGGUGCCAAUUCUCCCAUCAUCCAAAAAUUAUCUGUUCGUUCUUCUGAAUUUCUCAAUCAAAUGAUUAGAAACAAAAUCUUUGAAGGACUGUGCAAGUCAGAUUCUUGUUUCUUAUUGACCGUGACAUGAAUACUCAAUGGUAGAUGUGGCAUCUGCCCCUCGUUGACAUGUGUCGUAUUGUUUUGUUAGCAUCAUUGUAUUGUAGUUUGCUUUGUGGUGUUUUACAAGAACACUAGUUAGUGAACUAGUAUAGUGAGAUGGUUUGAUUUCCUUUACAUUUUGAAUUUCCUUGGUUGCUUUAGUGUUUCUGAUGACAAACAGGUUGUUUUUUCAAUAUUCUUAAAUAGGAAAGCUUAGAACUAUCGUGUUAACUGCAUAUUUUCUGGUAUGUAGAUCAUAUCAGACAUGUCAUGUAACUUGUUAUGGUCUUGCAGCACGGGAUUGAUUGUGGAGGGGAGGAUGUGUCAAUGCCUCCAAGGCUGCAAUUUCCUAGCCAUCCUCAACCCACAAUGCACUUUACGAACACAAACAUCCAGGCCUCUUCUGGUGUUUCUGGACCAACAACUGUUGGACUUGCCCCACGGAUUGGGCACUCUGAUCAAACGAAGAACCCAGUUUUCUCAAAUGCUCUCUCUGGCCCUGUUCCUCACAGCCUUCAGCCUUAUCACCUAGCCCAGGGUGGAGGAUUUUAUCCAAAUGGUGUCUUGCUAAAUGGAAGUGGAACUCGGAACAAUGAAGUUGUCUUUCCUAAUCAAAUCCGGGGCUCUAACUCCCUCAGCUCCAGCGACUUAUCUAUGGAUAUGCAUUCAGAUAGCCCACCUCAUGAAUCCUAUUAAUGUUUUUCAGUAAAGUUGCACCAUUUCUUUGUUGUUAGUCUCAGUAACCCUAUCUGCAGUUACUUCAUUAAAACUCCAUCCUCAAGAACUUGGUGAAUCAAGAAGGUGCUAUAAUAGUGAGGUCUGCAGGCUGGAGUUUUUGUGGAGGCAUCCAAAGUACAUGUUUCUCAUGAAUCUCCCUCCACCCUCACAGCCAAAGCAAUCUGUUAGUUCCAAGCUUACUUUUGGCCUCCUGCCGUUGGCCUAAUUCCAUGUUAAAAAUGGCCCCAUUUUGUUUUUUUCUUUUUUGUUUUUUUAGCUGCUUGUCUUUUUGAGUUGGAUCAUAUGGAUUUGGUGGACUUGGUAGAUAGUAUAUUUGGUUUUCAUGUGAUGAUCCUGUGAAUCAAAUAGGUAUCUAACAAACACAGCUUGGUUGAAGCCUCAUAUUAUGCACAUGGAUGCAUGUUUGAAACAGGGAGACUUAAGCCUUUGGUUGAUUGCUCAAUCUGUUCAGCCUUGACAGCUUGCUGCAAGGAACAAUCUGGCUGCAUGUUAUUCAACAAAUGAUGGUUUCAAGGGUUGAUAUGCAUUUUUCUGGUUUAGUUUUUCCUAUUGUGAACGCUGAAGAUUUUAGUUGCUUCCUGUCGUUUAAGCGCUGCCCUCGUUCAAUUUUACUCAACCGUGUGCUGUUUCCUAUUGGGUCCUCUCUUGCUAAGUCGCUUAGACUGGGGACUGUUUUUGGAAGCAGAAUAACUAGUAAAGUCAUUUAAUGUCGUUAUUCCUUCUUUUCAUGACCACUUUUCAAGAAAGCCAUAACGAGUGUUUUUACAAAGUUGUUACACAAUUUUUUUUGCCUCUUUACUCAAUCCAGGAAUAAAUUAUUUUAUCAUGUAGAGGAGUAAUUUUCCAGAAUAAAGACCAUCUGCUUAUGUUUUAGUAUUUAUCUUUUUAUUGCUAGGUUUAUAUGAGUCGGGUGCUACUUAGAGGCCUUUUUUUUUGGGUGUAAUUCCAAAUGCUGUUAUAUAAAAUAAAUUACUAGGUGGCUCAGUUAUAAAGGAGAAAUUAUUAGGUGGUUCAGAUCCACUGUGGAUUCAGGAUGAAAUCAUUCUAGCAUGUAUUACUGUUACACCUAAAGAAGAGAGAGAGACGGGUCCUGGGGGCCGACAGACUUGUUCUUGAGGGUGAUUGCUCGACAGUGAUUGACUGGAUACGAGGUGUGGACACGUAUGUGGAUGGUCACCCGCUGAUACGGGAUAUACGCAGUCUGGUACAAGAAUUGAUCUCCUGUCAGAUCGCCCAUGCCUACCGAGAGACGAACAGUGCAGCAGACUGGGUCGCUUCCUAUGUUGCCCGGCAUACUGGGGAGGCCUUCUGGUCUAGAUUAGAGGGUGUUCCACAUGCUUUAUUUUGUCUACUUUUCUUUGACAUGUUUGGAUGUAUUCACGUUAGAGGUAUAUGAAUGAAAUACCGUUUUGACCAAAAAAAAAAGAAAAAGAAGAGAGAGAGAGAGAGAGAGAGAUUAUCCGCGUAGAUUUGGUCCAUUUAAUAAUUUCUAGACAAAUGGGUCUUUUUGGCCGGUGGGGGAUAGAGAUUCUGGCACUCUGUCGUAGUUAUUGUAGAAAGGUAUACCUUUCCAAUUGCAAUAAAGCAGACUUUUGCUUGAUGAAGGAACUGAAGCAAGGCCCUGAGCCAGUACUGAAAUUGGCAUACUUUUUUUUGAGUUUUUAAAAAUAUUUAAUCGAUAAUCAUUUUUUUAAUUUUUUUAAUAAUUUUAAAUUUAAUUUUUUAAAAUUUUUUAGUAUUUUUUUAUAUUUUUUGAUGUUUCGAUGAUUCCGGCUUAAUCUAAAUGAUGCAUUUUAUUGUUAUAAAAUGAUACAAAUCAUAAAAUGAUUAGUAAAAUGUUAUAUGCUACAAAAAAUAAUAUAAAAUAUUUUCAAAUCAAGUAGUGACAUAAAAAUUAUAAAAUGAUACAAUCAAUUACAUGCAUUUAAAGUACAACAUACAUACAGAUAUCUAAAAUUAGGUCGAGUGAUGAUGGCUCUCGUAGAUAUCUAGAUCAUCAGCAUAGUCAUUAGGCACAUCAACCUACCCUUCUAAUCAAGCAAUAUUAUAGUCUUGUAUAUUCAUUUCAUAAGGAACGCCGAAUUAUAAGCACUCUCAAAUCUCUCGUUGAAGCUUUAGCUCUGAGAAGUGUUUUUUGGCUAAUAAUACGACUAUGGAGGGGCCUAUCUGAAUAUGCCGGCAGCAAAAUUCGAUCUGUAAGAUACUCUAGGAUGCAUAGGAUAGUAGCUAUAGGAAGAUACCUCAAACGCACCAUAUCCAUAUCUGUAUUCGUAUGGGUUAUAGACUGUCUGUGGUUGCAAAUAAUAGGAUACGGUAUAUGACUUAGAACAUGAUAUAUCUAUAGAUUCUACUCUACGUGCGAGGUCAUCUGCAGCUGCAUCGUGUCCUCCUGAAUGAUCUUGAGAAGUUCGUCUUCUCGAACAUUUCCAACAGCCACCUGAUGCUUUAAAAACACCAGGUGGAUCCAUAGUAACAACCAGGUUUGGAACCAGGUUGACUCGGUGCGAAUCGGUCGGUGCGUAUUGAGUCUGCACCAAACCGGUCGGUUCCAGCUAGUUCCGAUCGGUAAGGGACCAGUCCGGCCGGCUUGGUAUAGGUUCCGACCGAUACGGGGCCGGAACUGAUAUUAUGAGGCGAACCGACCCAGUUUCGCACCAAGUCAGCUUGGUAUUGGUCGAAUAGGGCAGUUCGGCUCGAUUGAGGUGAUGUUGUUAAUCUAUUUGUUUAAUAUCAAUAUUAUCAUGUUUCCAAGAAAAAAGAAAAAGAAAGAAAGAAGAAAACAAAAAACGGAAGCACAAUCUACUGCAUUGCAAGGGAAAAAAAAUACUCUUAUCUACUUAUUUGGAGGAGCACUCGUUUUCUGCUCAGCAUUCUGCUCUUGCUCUGUUGGAUAUUUUUCUCGCGGGAAAUUUCGUAAGUAAUUGAUACCCAGAUAUUUCCUAAGGGGCCGGUGCCGAUGCUAGCCACCUGUACCUGUGUUUCUGGCAGCUGGGAAAGAAGAGAGGAGAGGAAAGCAAGCAGAAGCUGUGGUAGCUAGCAAUAUUACAACGUUCAGGUUUGCAUUUUCUUUGCUUAAACUUUCUGAGAAUGUUACUGAAACCUGGAUUAAAUGCUAAAAAUCUUUGGAUGGAGCCUCUUGAGGAGAGGGAUCCUCAUUCUCCAGCCAUGAGGAGUAAUUCAGCUGAUCUCUGCUCAAGAAGGAUACAAUAACCGUCACCUUCAGAUACAGUAACUGUCGGGUGCUGAAAAGAUUCCAGAAUCAUCUUCGACUUUUCUAUUCCUCUCAAAUAAUAAUAAUAAUAAUAAUAAGAUCGUCCGAGUCGCCUAAUUUUUCUUUUUUACUUCAGCUCUUUCAUCGGACCACCGGCUCUUUGGAUGGCGGACCAGCCUCACUUUUGAGUGGAACACUCGAGUGAGGCUGGAGAGUAUCAAUUAAUGCAGCAGGUGAAUGUCGACCGAUCCAUCUGGCAUUACUGUAUCAGAAACAAUUUCCUUCUCAUACAGUGAGUGGGUUCUAUGCUUUGCCUUAACCAAGCACUGAAUGCGACACAAAUAAAAUUAGCGCACCAUAAAUUACAAAAAAGAAUUGUGAUCAUCCAGUCCAGACUCGCAUUAAUCUCCACCUCGUAUUAAAAGCCGUGUCCCAUGACGGACAAGUAGCGUUACUAUUAUAAAAUAAAAACUGAUGUUCAUCCUCCAUUGUUCGGCAACUUUUCGUGUAUUUGACAAUGAUGAAAAUGUGUUGCUUCGCAUCUGACAUGAGAAAACUAUGACCGUUUCUGCCUACAGGCAUUCUUCAAAACAAAUUAAGUUAAAAGAAGUUAAUAACCGUUGACUUUUGCAAGUUUAAUCAUGCAAUGCGAAACAUCAUGAUAGAGCGUGCAAACUAGGUUGCCAAAAGCCUCCGCAGUUUGCAAUCCAUUGUCAUCAGACCUGCAGGUGAGUGCCAGAGAUCCACGGGGAUCUCAACAGGUAAGAGGGCAGCCUAAUUCCUUGGCAGCAGCAUCGAGGAAAGCAAGCGUCAAGCCAGUUGCGCGCCUGCUGUGAGCUUCCCAUUUUAUGCAUUUCUCGAUGUCUGCAUGCCAGUUGACGAUACCGACACUCAAGCAUCCGUAAGAGGGAUCGCGGAGGCCCUGGCUAUCCCCAUGCAUAAAGCUAGUGGACUUGAUUGGGUUACUGUACAUUAUAUCUCGAAGAACUGAUGUGCUGAGAGCACGCACAUGUGCGCUUGGAUGAGAGAGGCAACGGAUUGUGGCUGAUAGACGACACUGCAGACGAUGAUUUGUGAAUCAUAUUGCUUAAAAGUGCAUACCUACACAAAUGCCGGUUGAUUGGAAUGAGUGAGAUAAUUACCUUCAGCAGAUUUGAGAGCCCAUCUGCAACUGCCAAGCCUGAUUCUCCCCAGUUGGCAACAAGAAGAACUGCUCUAGCUGUUGCUUCCAAAAGCUGCUCAUGUUCAUAUAGAUGGGAGCAUGAUCUCAGAAAUAAGAAUCAUAAGACACAAAGCAAUAACCCAUGUCUAUAAUGUAAUUCAAGAAUGUUCACAAACAGAAAUACAUGCUCGAGGCAUUAGACAUCAGUUAACCUGAUAAUAGCAAAAGAUUUUAAUGGAAAAAUAAAUAAUCUAAAGAGAGAGACCCAAUGUAUCAAAAAAUUUUACUGAAUCAAACUUUGAUGAACAAUAUCAUAUAUCAAUAGAAAAUUGACACCAGAAAGUCAGGGCUUGACAUUUGCAACAUAACCAUCGGGUGUCGUCCCAAUGUAGUUCAUAUAGACUAUUUGUUUAAUUUUGUUGAAAAAAAUAGUUCAUUCAGGCAUUACCUCUAGCUGUGGCAAAGUGCAUGCUUCACCAUCAACAAGCAUUCCAUCUGUAGCACGUAGAAGAAGAUCUGAAGCACUCGCGAGAAUUAUUAGUGCUUCUGGGCUAUCAUGAUUCCUCAGAAGUUCAGCAAUCAACUUUACAAUUCUCUGGUUGAUUCUCCACAUUCUCUGACCUUGUUCAUCAUCCCUUGCAAUCCAGGGCUGCAAAUCCUUUUCUGCCUGUCAAGAACACGAGAGUCCACAAAAGUGACUGAAAAAAAUGGGACAGCAGAAAUAGGGCAAAUACGAUUUAACUAAUCUACUGACUAAGAAUCUGAAGAUAAACGAGUUUUGGACCUGUAGAACGAUAGCAGUUGAUGCUUUUGUUGGUGAUGCUGAAACAACAUCGCAAAGGGCAUCUACUACCUAUACAUAAUGGAAAAGAUGAUCAGUCUGACUAAUCUUUGAACUGCAAACACAGCAGUUUGUGAGUAGAUGGAGGGAGAUUUAGUUGGCAAACUUCCGUACUAUAUAUGACAAGAUGAAAUUCAUGUUUGCAAUUUCUUUAUUUACUUGGACAUUGGAACACUAUGCUUUAUUUUUGUUUCUACGUGAAUCUAAUAAAGAUAGUAUGCUACUUUAACUCAAGAAAUCUACUUGGAUGGGUUGCAAGCAGCUAUUUUUUAAAAAGAAAAAUCCACAUAUACAUAAUCACAUGGUAUGGAGCAAGCAUAUUGUUGUAUACAACAACUACAAAAAAAACUAUGCAAAAAUUGCUCUAAGAAAUUCCUCGAACAAAUGAGACUAGCAGCUUGCUACAAUAGAUGCUAGAUCCACUUAUUGUAAUAGAGUUGAAGGGAAAAGAAAAUAGACGAAGUGGUGCAUGAAGUGACAUCUAAUUUCUAUGUGCCUUUACUGCUCAUGAAUAACCAGGUGCCCUUUUUUUAAUUACUAUCACAAACAUAAGGGAUCAUGAAAAAUGAGAGUAAUGCUCAAGUUAGAAGAUGUCAAGACCAGGUGACCUCCACAUGCAACGCAUGAUAAGGGAUCAUGAAAAAUGAGAGUAAUGCUCAAGUUAGAAGAUGUCAAGACCAGAUGACCUCCACAUGCAAUGCAUGAUUUAGCUCAUGUACAUAGUCGAACUCUUAGAAUUUAAGAUGCAAUACAAUCACUUGAGGCACUGAUGGAUUUGCCAAACUGACUAGGAACCAUAAUGCUGACGUCCCAAAAUCCAGACAUGAAUUAUAUGACAAUACAUGCAUUGAACAGUGAAGAUGCAAAGCACAAAGCAAUGAAACAUAAAAAACACCAGAGAAGACAACUGAUAUUGGUUAUAGGAUAGAAGCCUUCUAGAUACAAAGCAUUAGGCAGUGAAUCAACGCUAUAGGUGGAUCAAAGAGAUUAGUGCAAUAUAUUAAGACAAAUAAUGCAUAACAAAGAUAGUUGCCAGAACAAGCAGUACAAGUACAGGGAUUCUGAACCAUCUAAACUCUUGCUAUAUUUCCACUUUCAGUCUAAUCUUUUGAUCCUACUGUGUUAAUCUUUAUCAUAUCAAAUGAUCACAGUUUUGAGAUAGGAAAGAAUGUACCUGUCUCCAGCCUUGAUGAGCAGAUGUACUUUCUGCUGUCAUUUGUGUUUCUGGUGCUGCAAUUAAUUUUUGCCAUAACAAUGAAACAACAGAGAAACAUAAUUCCUGUUUCUCUGCAAGAACAGAUCUUAGCAGAGCUUGUGCACUGCGGUUGCAUCCUCCAUUUCGAUCCAUUGUGAGAAAGUUCGCUAAAUCUGUUGCAUCCAUUCGCAGACUUGCUAUAUUUUUCCCUGAUCUAUCUACAAUAACAUCAUUUAAUAUAAUUUCACAUGUUAAAAAUGCUCGUGAAGAACUAUCCUUAGACUCUGAUGACGAAGGAUCCUUUAAUUCAGAGAUGCUGCAACUUGCAGAACUGGAUUGUCCUCUGACACUGAAAUGCACCAGAUCAUCCUUCCGUACUGGCACAUGCACCAAGUGUGCCUCAAGGGGUUCUGCCUUGUCAACUAUGGAGGCAACCAUUUUUCCAUGUAUGUCAAUAAGGUGAUAAAGAGAAGAUGCCCUAGUAGAAAUCUCAGUGUCCCACUUGCAAUGCAUUAGAACAGAGAGAGCAUUCAUGCAGACUUUGGAACGUCCAAAUAACUCAGAAACAUGAGCAGCAACCAUAGCUGCAGCCACUAUCUCAUUGGAACUGUAACUCCAUGAUGUACCAACAGAUGAUGGCUUCAAUGAGAAAAGGGCUUCCAGAAUUCCGAGGAUUCUACGAGUGUGACAAACAGCAGAAAAAACACUAUUCUGUAGCUCAUUAAACACACCAUUAGUUUUUAAUGUUUUGGUCAUCUUUGCAGAAUUUUUAGAAUCUGAAUGUGUACCAUUUUUCGAAACCAAAGGGCACAGUUGAAGUUCACAAGCCAGAGCACAUACAGCAGCCAGCACAUAGGAAUCAAAUGUUGCAACGGGCCCUUGUUUUCUCUUGUUUCUGUUUUUUUUAGGUGCUUUCCCGUUAAUUAUCUGUGGCCCCUCAAAGUUCUCAUCAAGCAAAAGUCUGUCACUACCUGCUGGUCUUUUACUCCCAUUGGGCAAAGCCUCGUGACUGACGCAAACGGUUAGCACGACGAACAAUAGGCGGGAGGCAAGGUCCGUGGAUGCACAAGAUUCCAGAAAUAGUGAAUGAAUCAUUGUAUGAAGCUCAGCAACAGCAAGGUUCUUCAUUGUAGACCAUAUACUGCCAUGAGCUCUUGAUUUUCUUUGUUGAUCACCAGAGGUUUCUGGUGGAAAGGUUCUUCGCAGUAUAGCUUCUACAGUAGCCACAAAGAUCCUCAUGAGGCAUGCUUCAGAUGGGCUUCCACGUGGGAGAUACUCCAAUACUUUUAGAAGUGGCAAGUACAAAUUCCAAGACAAGGUAGGAGGUUGCAAUGGGGUUGCAACUACAAUUUCUGGCAAAUCAACAGCCGAGGAACUCAGAGGAAGCAGGCCAUAUGCAGCUUCCCAUAUGGUGCAUAUUCUCCAUUCAACAUCAGGACCAUGGGCACAUAGCAUAGAAGCAAUUCCUUGUGCAGUUGCCUCAACAGUGGCUUCAGAUGCAGGAACUUCUAGCUGAUCCAAUUUCAAUAAGCAUGGAUGGAUGUUAGGCAUAAAACAAGCAACAUAAGCUAGCUGAGUCAGCAUAUUCUUAAAGCAGAUUUCGGGCACAUGGACAAAUAAAUCAUGGUAGUCAAUAAUUCAAAAAAUAUGAAACUGGUAAUAGUACAAAUCCUUGACUCUUAAGUGAAAAAAAUGCCAAUAAUGCAAAACGACUUAAAUUACCUGUUUUUUAUAGGAUGAUAUGUAGCCACCUAGAGGUUCAUGCUGGACUUGAACUCCUUCAGCAUGUCUUAGUGGAGGAAAAAGCAACGCAGGCUGUGAGAGUAUGCGGAAAAGUAAAGCAGCUGCAGCAUCUGCUGCAAUACCAGCUCUCAUGGACAUUGCAGUGCCAAUUGCUCGCAAGAAAUGCAAAUGCAUCCAAUUUCUUGGAAGCUACAAUAUGAAGAACAAGAAAUUCAAUGACUAUAUACUUUGCAAUCAGAAAUACUUCAUUGACUUAAUCAGCUAUAGUGAUGCCACCUUUUCUCGUGGAACAGGAUGCCACAUUUUGGAUGCUAAAUGGAAAACAAUAUAAAAUAUGAAGAAAAAUUUGUACUCACACUUUAUUUAUACAUAAAUAAAAUUUAGAAAUGUUAUACAUCAAAAUUCAUGGAGAUGCUGUACAGCAUACUUACCAGUUACCCCAAAAUUAGAAUAAUUGUAAAAUAAUAAAGGAAGAAAUAAUCUUUUAUCUCUGUCUCCACAGGGCAAGGGUGGAGAGAGAGAGAGAGAGAUUCACCAGUGGUAAUAUACAAAGAAGAUAUAUACCAAAGUACCUACAUUUCCAUUUGUUAAAUUUGGUGGUUAACCUAUUACGCAAAAUAUAUGUACAGUGGGUUGUAAGUGAUUCUUUAUAUUAGGGCAACAAUGUAAAGUAUUCCAUAUAUAGAAUAUAUCUAAAACCCUUCUUUAAACUUACUGGGAAUCUACUACCAAAGAGUUUGCUAAGAAGGUAUUGAAUACGGCCAGUAUUAUGGGCCUUCAUCAAAAAACCCAUAAGCUGCAUCGUAGAUGAUACAUACAGAAGGGAGAUGCGGUAUGAGGAUGAAACCAGCUAAUGUAGUGGAAAUUAUCUAGAUGGGCUGUGUCAUUCAUGGAAAUAGGAAUAGCCUAAUCUAGGUUAUAUUCUGAUUGUCACAAUAUAAGUGAUUAGACCUCUAAGUUCCAGCAUUCACGAAGCGAUUAUAGUAGGCAAAUGGUCAAGGUACUUCCUGCAUGGUGCCUAAAUGGUAUGCAGCUACUUACUGCUGAUCAUUAUUGAAUAAAUGUUAGACGAUAUAUAAAUUUAUAGUAAUAUAUAAUGGAAUAAAAAAAUAGAAAUAUCUCAAUAGAAAUCAGGAAAAAAUAAGAAAAAUUAUAGAGUUCGAGGGAUGCAUAUCUAGAGAUUGGGCUUAUACCGGCCACAAGGGUACCCACUACGCAACUUGAAAGCUACAUGCAAACAUAGACUAGAAACUAUGCAGGGUGGUGAGGAGGCUGCACAUGCAUAUGCAAUCACAUAGACUGCUUUUUAAACAGUACUAAAAAUGAAUGUCCACAACUUAGGAUGGUGCAACCAAACAACAUCCACAGUUAAGUGACAUCUAGAAGUAGCGACUAGAGUGGUCAGUGGUGCUUGAUAGGAUGCAGGAGUACAAAUGAGUCUCAUCAGCCAGUUCAAAUAUUGCCAACUCCAAAUGCAAUAGAGGAGGACUACGAAUCAGUCCCUGAAUAGGCUUGAACUUAGGGUGAACCCAUUAGUGAUCAUGGCACCAAUAAUAUAUUUUGGCUGCAUAAGGAAAGACUGGAUCCCAGAGUCAGCAGCUCAUGUUGGUGUUGGAACAUUAGAGCACAAAACUCUUGCAUCAAUUGUUCAACCAGUUAUAUAAAACAGAAUAACUGCUGCCCACAAACCCCAAUCAACACUACAAACCCCUCUCAAUUGCUAUAGGCAGGACAGAUAGUCUGAAAUCUUCUAAGCUAUCAAAAAGUUGGCAAGCUGGGGACAUAUGGACGAUCAAAUGAUGUCAUCAAAUACAACUAGAUAAUUUUAACUUAGAAAAGGCUUUAGAUCCCAAACAACAAUAUAGCCCCAUAAGCAACACUAAGGAAGAUAGCUACAGAAGGGAUAGUUAUGUGAGAGAAUACUGAUGGGACCAAAAUGCGCAACAAGAUGAAAGAAAGGCAGUCAAACCUUAGCAAAAAAUGAUAUAGGUGAAGACUGGUACUUUUCUUCCAACAAAUUGGCACUUAGAUCAGAUAUAUUGACAUAGACCAAGAAGGCCAAAGAGCAGCAACCAUUAAUAGAAAUGCAACAGGUGAAGAGCACUUUUUCUCCAAAUUUAUACCUAGAUCAAAUACAUCAACAUAGCCUGAUACGUCAGGUCCAAGAAGAUGGGUCCACAAGGUAAUAAACUGGCAUCCAGUUGCUUGUACUAAUGAGUUAAAUGUCAAAGGUUAAAUAGUAACUGGAAUUCAGACAAGCAGUAGCCACAAGAAUGAAGGAAGAUAGAACCAAAUGUGCUACAAGGUCGAAGAAAGGUAGCCAACCACUAGCAAAAAUGCUAAAGGCGCACAUUGGCAUUUUUGCUUUUCCCCCAACAAAUUUGAUCCUGUCAGAUGAGCUUUGUCACAUGAUUUCCUAAAGAAAAAAAACAUUGAUAACAGACAUAUCUCAAAUAGAGAUGGAAUUCUCCUAAUGAUUAAAAAGAUGAGAAAAUUAUCAAAGAACAUGAGCAGUAUGAUGAAAACAGCACAAAGAAAGAUAAAAUAGGUAGUAAUUUUUCCAACUCUAAACGAAGGGGAAGGGGUAAAAUGCAUUAGGGGACAGUGGAUUAUCAAAUAGAUAUUUUCAGGUCAAUAGGAUGUGAGAGUUCCAGUCAGCUGCAAAAACAAUGAAAACAAGGAAAUUUGUCCGAAAAAAGAGUCUUUGAAUCUGCACUAAUAGCAGACAGGCAAUGAGGUGAGAAGGAGAUGGCAGAGUGCAAGACUAACUUCAGAAGGGGGAAAAACAAAAGGAGCCUCGACAGUCAAACAUGCUGGAGAAGUGAAAAUAAUAGUUAAUCCAACUCAUAUAAAGAAAGAAAAGGAAAUCAGACCCUAAAUUCAGGCUACUGAAGUGGAACCGAUCCUCUGAUUUGAUUCAAUUCCAGCAGUCAAUGGCCAUUGGGCCAUUACUGUUUAACAGAUUCUGGCAAAGUGGUUCAUUGAAGUUGGCAAGGGUAGCAUUACAUAUGUCUUAGUGCAAUGAUCAAAUUUAAUGGUAGAGAUUAUGUGAAGAGACUGAGUCCUGCACAUGCUUCUGUCAAUUCUCAUGUAAUAGUCCUGAGCACAUAUUUGAGCUAUUGUACAACGAAACUUGAGUAUGAUCAUAAAUACAGAGAGAGGCAUCAAAUUACAUUGAGACAAGGCUCUAAAUGUACCAUUGCAAAUUACAAUGUACUAAGUUGUCCAAUGUGUAGUAUACAGGGACAAUACAAGAAUGUAUAAUUUAUACAUUUGUAGAACAGUAUCUCUAAAAGAAACUGAUUACAUACUAUAUGCUUUACAUACCUAAGAUACAACAUAUCUGAUGAGACAUUACAAGUUACUAGCAUCCAUCUUCCCAUAUGCAUUCAUGCCAAACUGAUUUGAGAGUGUUUGUGAGGAAUAAUGUUUAAGCUUUACUCAUCUAACUACUAAACAAAUUGAAAGGAACCUUUUACCUGCUUAAAUUAUGUGGUGCAUCUGGUCACAAAUGGUGAAUCUCCAGAAGCCAUAAGUAAAAACAAGUCCAAUCUUUUUCACGGUGUAGUACUAGCCUAAACAAUAAUAUUUACAACUAUAAAAAAAAGAAGCAUGUACUAUCACAUAUUCGUAAUGGAGUAAAACCAGCAAACUUAUCAUUAAAUUGGCAUUUAAGUGGCAAAGGGAAUAAUUAUAUGAAGUACAGAAACACUGGAUAGAUAUACCACUAGAACAGCAUCAUAUCACAUGGGCAUGGUUCAAUUUCAUAGUUCUACACCUACCCUCAUUCCACUUGCAUAGUCCUCAGCUGCUCUAAGGAGUUCAACAAGUUGCACUGCAGCAUCAAGUGCAUCUGGAGCCCAUGAGGGUGGUGCCUCAAGGAGUCCAAGAAGCAGCCUCUGUGUAGCACUUGGAGUAGCAAUUGCAUAGUACCUGACUCAGAAAAUUUCAGUUGUAUAUAAAAAAAAAUUCAAACAUUAUAACAUGAAAAUAAGUUAAAGGUUCAAAUAUCCACCUAUGAAAUAAACGAGCAUAUGGCUCAAGAGCAGGCAGCCCUGCAACUAGAUGCUCAUCUAAGGCAGUCGUAGGAGGAGGAAGCAAAAGUGCAGGAACAGCAGCUGCUGUUAAAUUUGCAGUUUCAUAGCGAGCUACUUCCUCAUCACAGACACUCAAUAUGACUCCAGCUCCAUUAGCCACAGCCCAUCGAGGAGUGGAUGGCAUAAGUUGAGGAUGCUUUCCAGACCCACGACUACAAGCUAGCAUAGGCAAAAACUUAAAAAUGAUUACUAGUUUUACAGCAUAUGCUCAAUUUCAGAACAAGACAUGUCUUACAGACAGGAUAUAGUACAACUAUGACAAUGUAGUAAGAACUGCUAAGCCUGAUAUACAUUGCUGGCCCUUUCCCAAUUAGCUUGAGCUUUUGGGGUCAAUUAGCUAGUUAACAUGGCAAUGGAGCUCAGAUUUGCUAGAGUUCAUGAGUUCAGAUCCCUUGAAUUCAGUUAUUUAUUUAUCCCUAGUUAUAAUAGUUUAUCUUCCUCAGUUAUUUUUCUGUGUGUCAUCCAGGCCGCAUGCGAGUGGGGGAAGUUAAAUUUGAUAUACAUUGUUGACCCUUUCCCUAUUAGCUUAAGCUUUUGGGGUCAAUUGGUUAGUUAACAAGAACAACCAAAAGAUUCAACUAAUAGUCUGCAAAAUCUAUGAAAUAUUUUCUGAUUAUCCCAUAAAAACAACUAUAAAUGCAAUGAAUAUGGAUCAGUAAAUAGAACCAAAAAAGGUCCCAAUUGCAUGCAGAAAUUGAAGCAGAAAACUAGAAUACACAAGAAUAUGGAAAUCUCAUGUAUCCAUAAGAUAAACAAGAUGAAUAAAACUUAUACUGAAACAUUCCAGUGAUAAAAGCAACAAUCAACUCCAUUAACCAGCUGCAGGAUAAAAACAACAAGUACGAAAAGGAAAAGCACAUAAAGAGGACUUAAGUGUCAAGCUAGCAGAAUAACAAAAAUUAAAGGAAGAUUGGACUUGCUAAAAAGGACAUUGAAGAAUCUAUAGAAAUAACAUAUUUUUGUUCCAUUAAUUCUGUCAUUUACGAGUAACAAAAUGAAUCAAAAGCAACUAGCUAAUAGGCAUAAUGAAGCAGUGGUUCAACUCUCAGAAUGGUACUUAUAUACAUAUUUUCAUAGAGAAGGAUGUUGCUGUACCUGCAUGCAUGUAUCCAUAUGACAUUACCUUGCACGACGACAAUCUAAUGUAAGUUAGCAUGUUGCGCAGAUGAAUAUUAUAUAUCAAGCAAUGAUCCGGACCCUUCCACAAAUGAUUACAGAGAGCCAUUUCACUCUCUACCAUAAGCUUCACUUGUUGAAGCAAACUGAAUCAUCUGUGGUCUCCAACCAUUCAUCAUUGAGAUUGAUGCCAAAAAUCUGAAGACUUAUUUUUUCCUGUUAGAUAAUAAUUAUGCAAAUGGACCCAAUUCCAUCUUGUAAGAAUUGCCAUGAGAUAUUGCUGGAUAUUGGAAUUCAACUUACCAUCCUAGACUCUGAUAGGUUUCCUGUCUGUUGGCUAGCUAGUGCUUUCUCACUAUGAUAUUAGCAACCUAAUUAAAAUUUUAUCCAGAUUUCUCAAACCUCUACCUGUUCAGAUCUUGCCAUGAUAUGCUCUCAUGUUCUAAAUUUCACAUGCCCUGAUGCUCUAUCCUGUUUCUAGCUGCACCUGUUUCAGAAUCUUGAUCUACUCAAGCCAGUGAAGUAGGAUUAUUUCUCAUGUCUCAUGAUUUAUUUGAAUAUAAUCACCAAAUUCAUCUAUAAAGGAGAAGGAUACAACCACAAAUUUACUCCUCUCUUAAAAUCGAUGUUUUUCUGUAUAGCUUUCUCUUUGUAGGAGUACCAGUUUCAUGCUUUAACAAUGGUUUCCCAAUUGAAUUUGCUCCCAUAUAACAAUUGUCACAUUUCUUGUAUACAUGAGCUAAUUUUGAAGUUGGAGUAAGGAACCUGUACUCUAAAACACCUUAAUAAUUUUAAUGCAUUAUAUAGAGAGAAUUAGGCUGGAAUGCUUUUAGGAGCAGUAAAUUCCAAAUGCUUCCUAACAGAAAUCAAUGAAGGGUCUCUCAAAAUAAAAAUCAACACCAUUGAUCAUGAUCUAGGAUGUAUAUUUAGAAAGUAGAAGUCAUUUAUUUUGGAGCUGCUCGCCUAUACAUCUAGGUAGCAAGGAAAUGAACAAUAGCAAUAUAGCUAGUAAGCAAGAACAUAGUAUAAAUCAUUUAAUUUGCAAUUCUAAACUAUUGAUCUUGAUCUAAAUAUUUCAAAAAGUAUGCAGAAAAACAUCACAGCUCUUUUGGAUGUUUUUAAGCUAUAUAUGAAACUAAAACAUGAUAUCAUGCCAUUAAAAUAAUUGAUUUUGUUGUCAUUUGACAAAUGAGUAAAAGCCCUUAAAAUCCAUGACCUUUUGUUUCUAACUAUUCUAGAUAUCAUAGAUCGCAAUCAACGUUGCUGAUUUUUAUUUUUAAGGCCCGUCAAUGAUUUCCAUUAAGAAGCAUUUGCAGCCAAUUUCUCUCAAAAGCACUCCAGCCUAAAUAUAUACGCACACAUGUAUCCCCAUAACUUUUUCUUUCUUUUCUCAUGUUUGACACUUGGAUACAUAUCAUACAACAAUGGAGGGGAAAAAGCUCCAAUGGAUAUAAAAGUAUAAUAGGGGCCCUUAUGAGCACAAACUAGUCCUUAUUAGCUCAUGCUCCUCCACCAAACCAGCACAUUGCGGUACAAAGCCAAUACAGAUUGGCACCAUCCAAUAUGCACAGGAUAGUAUUUUUGCACUUCGCACCAUGCACAUAUUAGGUUGGCACAAUAUGUACAAACUAACAUGGUUAGCUCCUGAUACCUCUAAUAAGAUUUAGAACCAUUGCGAAAUUCCAAGAUAGUCCAUUCUAGGCAUCUAAAUAAUCAUCCCCAAGUUUCCUUUCAAUUCUUGACAUCCUGAUGCCACUCAUACAACCAAAGGAGUCCUAUUUUUACUCAAGCACACACAAAAAAAUUCCAAUAAGCAAGGUAUUUAAAGGAUUAUUGAAUAGGUGCAUAAAGGGUCUGGACUGAAACUGACUAAACUAUCUGUAACUCUAAAUCCUAAUUAAGGUUCCCUAGGAAUCAACCCCAAUGCCUUAUCCAAUAAAUCAUCAUAGUUCCUAGUUCCUCCUAUUUUUUUAUCUUAAUUUAUUGAUUGCAUAGGAAUGGACUGAUCAUUGCUACAAUCCAGAAUUAUUCAUGAACAUACUUCUCU
rnacentral:lncRNA from 1 species